UUCCAUUAUCUCAGGUGAGCAAGGUAUGGUGGAUGAAGCACAAAAAGCAUUGGAAGAGGCUGAAGCCCUUAAAAAGGUUCUCUUCAAAUCUCUUUUCGGUUUUUUCAUUUGUUUGACAGUUUUACCACGACUGUUGCUAUAUCUCUAUCCUUUAGUGAAUUUAAUAGUUCAUUUUUUGCCUCAGCUGCAUGCCAGACAGGAACCUGCACAGGAUUCUACUAAGUACACUGCUGCAGAUGUGCGAAUUGUGAGUGCGAUUUUUUUGAAAUUGAGUUGUUUAUUUUUAUGAUGCAUUCCUUCUCGUUUGGAUUACAUUGCAUUAAGUACACUCUACUGUUGAUGUACCGCGAAGCACUCAACAAAUUGCAUUGCUUGUGCUCCGGAGACGGCAAGGAAAUGAGCCUGACUUCUUGACAUUUAUUCAUUACUCAAAUUGCUUUAUUAAACCUUCUGGCUCAAAAGAUUUGACAGGAACUAAGGAAAUUUGCUCAAUUUGACAGUGUACCUUAGCUACUAGAUGAUCCCCAUUAUCUUUUCAUGCUUGUAAGUCUUGUAUCUGCUAGUUAUUUGAACAUUUUGAACACAUCUAGAAUUCUGUUCAGAGUUUUUGUGACAUGUCUAACCACGAAACAAGUAAAUAUUUUGUUACUUUGAUGUCGUCUCUGUUGCUGUUGGGUCCAUGUCUAGUAAGGAAUGAAAGUUAAAUUUGGGUAUAUGCAUUUUGUGUGAUACUCUUCUACUGUUUGAUAGUUGCUCCCUGUUCUCAUGUUAAAAAAUAAGAAGAGUUGCAAGUUUCAUUACACAGCAAUAUUUGCUUGUCUCUCUCCAAUUUGGGUUCAUCUUUUCAGAAGAACUACCCCAACUUGCUGUUGGUGCUCCAAAUCAUUACCUGCUCUUUGGUGAUCGAUAGUUCAUGCUGAUUCAUUUUGUUCAUACUUCAACUGACGUAUUAAUAACGACUGCAUUCUUCUAUUUUUUUUUUCUUUUUUUCAGACUGACCAGAAGCUACGUGUUUGCGACAUUUGUGGAGCAUUCCUCAGUGUCUAUGACAGGUGAAUGUCUUGAGUUUUUACCAGUCCCUCUAGAUUUCAUAGAUUGUGUGUGGGAAACGUAGAGUUGGUCUUUGGGUUUUAAGUGCUUCAGCUUUUGACCCGACAAUUAUCCCUCCUUGUCACCAGCAGGCUUUUGGGCCCAGUAUUACGAGGAUAACUUUUCCAGCUAAAGAAUGUGCGUCUUUUUUUCUGUUUUAUGCUUGUAGAUCAUGCUGUUGUUAGCUGAGUUAUCAGAAACUGCACUAUUCUUAUUCUGUGAGCUAUCUAACCACUAUUCGUAUUAGAUUAAGCAAAUUAUUUUGAUGCCUCGUGUUGUUUCAGUGACCGUCGUUUAGCGGAUCACUUUGGCGGGAAGCUUCAUUUGGGUUAUAUGCAAAUCCGUGAUAAAUUGGCAGAGCUACAGGUGAGAUAAUUCUGGUUCUUGUCACAUGGCUUUGGUACCUUUGUUUGUCCUAUAUUCUCUGCAAUGGGAGAUUAAAAAAAGAUUGGUCCGCUUGAGCUUACUGGAUGCAUCAUCGCUUACUUGUUAAUUCAUUGAGCAUAAAUUUUCUUCUCAAUGCACUAAGGAUAUAUAUGAACAAGUACAUUAUCUGUGUGCAUCUUUGGACUUGUAGUAGUUUAACUUCUGUCAGAUGACAGGCUUGAUGAGCUUUAAUUAUUUGAUGGUUGAGUGAUCAUCUCUGACUCUAAUUUGGUUUUCACCUCAUCCUGCUAUUUGAUUGUCUCUGUGUCACAUUUGAUUAGUUGAUUUUAAUGAUGAGUCUUGAGUGUUUCUUUAUACUGAGUUUUCAGGAAGAGAGAAACAAGAUCCGUAAGGUUGAUCACCAUGAGGACAGAAGGUAAAUCCUGUGUUCCAUCUGCUGGCUGAUCUGUGUUUGGGGGGGGGGGGGGGGUUCUUUUUAUAUCUGUCAGAUGAAUAUAUGCCUUUUACUAUUUUCUUGUUUUCCAAAUUCCUAAGCAAAUAUACUUUCUUUAUGCAGAUCAAAAGAAAGGAGUAAGGAUCGUGAUAGGGAAUCAAGUAAGGAUCAAGAACGAGCGGACAGUCGUGAUAGAGGGAGGGAUUAUGAUCGCAGGAGUCGGGAUCGUGAUAGGCACCAUGAGAGAGAUCGUGGAUAUGAAAGGGAACGUGACCGAGAUAUAGAUCGUCCCCGCAGCUAUGACUCCAGAAGUCGUCGCAGAUCACGAUCUAGGUCGCAGGAACGUUCUAGGGAUUAUGACCGCCACAGGUACAUUUUUUUCCGCAUAAAAGUAAACAAAUUGGGUUUUAUUGCUCCAAUCUUUAUCUUUCAGUUCAUGUUCAGCUUUUAGUGCAUAUAUUUUCCGGGAUGAAUCAGACAUCAUGUUUAUGUAUGGAUCCAUGGAAUGAAAAAGAUGGGUUUUCACUAGGUUCAGGCGGUUAGCCUCCUGACUGCUGAAGAAUUGCUUGUAUGGAGAGUUUGGGAUGAUAAAGGAGUCGUGCAACUAUGCUCUAGUGACUUUCAUUUUUUCAUUUCUGGCUAAUCAAGGGCACCGUUAGCUUCUCUGUUUGUUACUGGAUAUAAAGUAGGGAUUAGUGGGAACUAAGUGACUUUGGUGGAGGGUCACAUAGAUUUUUUGUGGUCACAGAUAUUCGAUUAGGAUACAAGUACUGGCCUCUGACUAAUGUCCUUCCUUACCGAUGAUUGGGACUGGCUGGGAAGGAAAUUCAUUCAAAUUGUCUGAAUUAAUGGUGUCCUAGUGGGAGUGCUGCUGCUGCUGGUUACAUAUUUUUAUUUGUUGCUUGUGUGUUCCAUAGUGAGAUCUUUUCUAAGAAUGGCAGGUUGCAACCAUCAUAUGGAAAUGCAAGUGCGGUCACAUUGGUUGUAGAUAGAGUGGAUUGUGUCAAAAUCUGACUUCAAUGACUUGGUAGUAGAAACAGAAAUUAUUAACAUGUGCCCUUGCAGGCAUAGUUAAACUUUGUUUGACAUGCUUUAAAAUGUUUAAGGGUAACUUUUCAUAUCAUAAUAUCUUCGAAUGUGUGGUUGCUGCAUUUUGAUAAUUUCGAUGCCUUGUAGACAUGCAUUCCUGUAAUGAAGGUAUGCUGAAAGAUUGCCUUGAGACUCGAGAUAACCUUUGAACAAAACCCUUAAGAAUAUUAUUUCAUCACUUAAUAUAGUUUGCAAGAUUGUAGAAUGUAGAACAGAAAGGUGGAAAUUCUUGAUUUGUGGAGUAAUCUGAUGGAACUAUCGCAGAUAUUUUUAUUGUUGGUGUCUAUUUCUUCUUCAAUGCGUGUUUAUUUUUCAGUCGAAUGAUGUUGCUCACUGAGGAUUUUAUAUUUCAUUUUGUGAACCACCAUUUUUUUACACCCAGUCUCUCUCUGCCUCGGAUUUGGAUGUGUUAUUAUCUCAUGUAUAGUUAAAUGACCAUCUUUAAGUUCAAUAUGAAUUUGUUUUAUCUACAGUAUUUGUUUUAAUGCACAGUGGUAAGCGUUUGUCUUCUUUAUUGAUCACUUGAUGUUUGGAUUUUCUUCAGGCGUCGUGACCGCUACUAAUGGAUUAUGGACAUGAAGAUGGAAAUGAUGUGGUUUCAUCACUAAACUCCUGUAGGGAGAGCUUAUCUAUAACUGUUUGUUCCAAAAAUGUUCUGACAUGAGCUGUGGUAGUUUCAUAUGAAAGAGUCUGAGUUUCUGCUUAGGAGGUAUAGUUUUUGGCUUGCUGUGUACCAUGUAUUUUGUACUUAAAUUUGCUGGUUGACCUCUGCAUUUUCUUAUGUGAAGUACCGUUACCUGAGCUUUCAUCCUCAAGUUAUUUUGCGCUUCUGAGCUUUAGACGAGGGGUCUUAUGUCUGUGUGCUCAAUCUGAACCAUUUGAGGGUUCAACUACAUAUACAAAGUACACGCACGGUCGAGCUAAUUUUUGAUGCAGCAACAGCAGAAGACGGAAAGGGUUUUUCGGCCUUUGCCCUCUGGUUGCUUGGUAGAUCAUGUUCUUUUGACUUGUGGUACUCGAGAAUGCCCUGUGGUUAUGAAGUGACAACCAGUGAAUGCAUCAAACGUACCGAUGUUAGUCGAAUUGCAAAUCAAAUAUGCUUUUGAGAUCCCAUCAAGUGCCUGUAGUUAAACUUAUGUGAAAAGAAUAGUGCUAUCAAUUGACUUUUUGGAAACGGGGCAAUUGAUUGAAACUGUGAAUUAGAUAGCUGGUGGAAUCUGCCAAACUACUAAUUAUAGCUCAUAAGUUCUACUGUGCACAUUCGGUUGCCUCAAUUACUAUUCUCGUGAUACGUAUUUACAAAGAUUUUUCAAGUGACCUACUUCUACCCAUUUCUAUAUUUAAGUUACUUCUGAUGUGGAAAAGUUGCUAGUUAUGGACUCUACUUUGUUACAAAGUAGAGUCCAUAAAAAGGUAUCACGAGAACAUCGAUAAAAAAGGAGAAAAAAUUAUUAUAGUCAAAUUAUUAUAGUACAAAGUUUGUACUAUGAAAUUUACGUAUGAUAUAGUCAAAUUAUUAGUUAUAGAUGCUCAUGAUUACCUAGUCUAUUUAGUUGAUACAUCGAUAUUGGUUGUCCCUCUACACGAAGUUGCUAAAGCGAAAGGUUAACUAAUUGGUUAAGACUAGCGUCGUCUGCCUUCAGGAAAACUUGCUGAUCCAUAAAAUAUUAACCAAGCGAAAGAGUUAACCCAAUUGGCAUGUAAAGCAACGUCUUGACUUGUCAAUAAAUGUUCUUUAUGGGAAAGCUAUUGAACGGAGAGAUGCCUUCGUUUAGGUCGAUAACACUAGCCAACGACCCCUGUACGGAAAUAGCGAAAGUUCGAUUGAUUGCACUGUUUCGUCCACUUUCGUUGUGGAUGGAUGUUAGCCCCUUCUUUCAUUUGGUGGUGGAAUCUUAGAAAGGCCCAACAUUUCAAAUCAAUUAUAUCAGGAAAGACCAAGAGGAAGUGGGGACAUCCAGAUUGAUCUGGUUGGUAGCACAUAAGAAAUUCCACUUCUUGAAAACAUUAAAGCUAGAGAACACAUAGCAUCAAGAAACUGCACCCCUAUUUGAAAUUCAGAAGUCCCAGAUUGACGUCUGAGCUUCGAUGGGAACGACUUAUAUGGCGAUGCAGAAAUAAUUGGGGGAACUCAUUACAAUGUUCAGGAACAGCCCAUUAUGUUGCAUGUUACAGCUACAGCUUGAAUCAAAACUAUAGUGUUACAAAGAGUUGAAACACAGAAAUUUCCAGAUGAGGGUGUGGAUGGUGGUGCCAAAACUUCCCUCAUUACCCCUGAAGAUGGGCUUGUCACAGCUUCAAAGCUCGUCCUGCAACCAGUAGGAGACAUUAAUUUACACCAAGACUGCAACUUACAUAAUGGACUGAAAACUCUAGCAAAAUGAAAUAAGACCCAGGACGAGUAAAUUUCCAUGUAAGUUAUUUGGAAUCCAAAAAAUGAAAAUUAGUGUUAUAUAUACUACGAACGGGUAGUCACCACAUUAUUCCCCUAUAAUAUUACGAAAAUAUAUCAGAAAGAUUUGCUUACAUGAUAAUCAUCCAUGUAGUCGCGGCGAUCAUGCUGCAAAAGAGAACUUCGCAGUAAGAAUAAACAAGCUUGGAAAAAUGCAGGACGAGUGAUAAUGGAAUGCAUCAUUAGCAGGAAAAGUUCAAGAAUCAAGCAUUUUCUAUUGGAAGAUGAGUGACUUGUGAAUAUGACAUGACUGCAAGUUUGCAAGAGCAUCUCUACAAUUCUUUAGCCUUAAUUUUUCUAGGUGAAACUACGUCAAUGAGCUUCAACAGAUUUCCAAGUUCAUCACUGCUACAGUAUGCCAAGAAACAUGGGAGACAAGCAGGAUCCAAUGCGCUGGUAAAAGCAAAUUUAAGGCUAAAUAUAGUAGAUGCCAUCCUAGCCAGAGAUAUCUUGCCAAAGGAACUAAACGACAGUUGAGGAUGCAUUGAACAAGAAGGAAUGCAACCAGGUGAGAAAGUCAAGGAUCUGAUAUACAAACCCUUCUAUAUUUAUCUCUGUAUCUAUCUCGAUAUCGUCGAUCAUAACCCCUCUCACGUCGUCUCCUUUCACCUUCCUCCCUUGCUCUUCGAGCUUCCUGCAUAUACAAGAGAUCCACCACUUGAAGGCCAUCUCAAGAAAUUUAAAGCGAGGGAUAUAACAUAUGACUAAUAAAUCACUCCUAUCACCUCUUCUUCUUGUGCUUUCCUCACUUUUUCUGCUUCUUCAAAGGCCUCCUUUUCAGCCUAAAGUAAACAAGACAAUCACUUAAAUUAGCCAAAAUCUUUUUAGUCUAGGAAAUUGCAAAAUGGAGUUGAAGAACAGGACUGACCUCUCGAUUGGCGAAUACUUCCUCCACCACUUGCUUUGCAUAUUCUGGAUCAUCACAAAUCAAGACAUUGUCGAAUAUUGCACCUGCCUUUACCUGCACACAAAACGUUCAUUAAUUCAUUCUCUUAGUCAUGGAUUUAGCUGUUGCUUCAGAAGGUGAAGCCCAAAUAUGUUUUCUUAUCAAAUCCUACCUGCCAAACCUCAAUGCCUACAUAUUGUAUUGGCUUCAUCACAUAAAGGUCGGGGUCAUCCUCAAACUCUGCAAACAGGAACAUAACCCAUUUAUUAUCCAGCAAUCUUCUCAGAUCGACGGUCAAUAUUUUUAACAUGAAUUAAUGCUGCAAAAAGAUUCAGGCUCUAAUGAGAUGGUACCUGGAUUGUUGAUCCAAGGGAUCUUCCAUUUUCCCUUAUAAUUGGGAUUCUUUAUUUUCUGGAGCAAAGGAAAAAGAUCAGAAGUUGCAACAUUUUAUUGAAUGUCAAGGCUGUGAUCAUUUUAGUUAUGUAUUGUCACACCUUCCGCUUCCAUGGUCCUUUAAAGGCAGGAUUUGGUACUUUUGGUGGUUUCCACACUCCAUCCGCUUCUUCAUCCCAAUUAUCAGGCUACAAGAUAAUAGAACCAUUGAGUAAGCAUCAGCAGUGGAAGUUCUAUUGAGCGAAAGGCCAGAGAACUAAAGUAGCUUUCUUCGGAAGCAGCUAAAAUAGACUGAAAAAGUGGAUGCUACCAUGUUCAAAGCAAAUUCUCUAACAAAAACAAACUAACCUCUUUAGCUUUUGGAUCAGGGAUCUCAGAAGGAAUUGAAUCAUAUCCCUGUAUAUGGUGACAAAAAAACUCAAUAAAUCAUUAAAAUUCUUGAGAAAUCUCUGAAGGGACUCAUUAUAGGUGGUGAUUGAAACAGCCUACCUCGGGUUUGACUUCAUUAGGGUCUUCAAUGUAUUCUCUGUCAUCCCAGUCUGCAGGCUGUGACAGACAGCCAGUGAGGUUUUGUUCUUAAGAAAUGAAAUAUGAUAGAAUCAAUGUGAUGAAAAGGUUUAAGCUACAUCCUGCUGAGGCUUCUACAAAGUCGACAGGAAGAAAAGAAGUGUAUUGACUUCAGGUGGAUAAAACACAAUACAAACUGACAUAUCAGAUCAUGGUUCAGUUCCAACUAUCAAACAUUUGAAGACCACAGCCAAGGAGCAGACCUUUUUAGCAUUGACAUCUUUGAUUCUCCGUGGAGGAAGGAUAUCCCAGUCUGUGUACAUGCUUCCUGAAUCCCUUUCUCGAUUAUCAACCAAAAUGCUAUAAGUAGCAUCUGGCCUGAGGAUGAAUGUGUAGAAAUGAGUCAACUUGUCCGUUUCGCAUUCCAACUCCUUCUUGAUGGGGUAAUUUUGCCCUUGGUAGGAAAGAAUGACAUGGAGUUUCUUUGUCUGGGUACCACAUAUGUCUGGUCCAAACAUUAGGCUGAACACCCAAAUUUGAAAAAGAAAAUGAAGAACAAGUUAAAAUGGAAUCUUUGCACAAUAUUUAUGCUGGAAAAGGAAAUAAAAAUGAAUAUGAGUGUCCCGAGGUUAGAUACAGACAUCAUAUAUAAUCAGAGUCAAGGGGAGGAAACUUGUUAUGAGGAUAUAGCUAGAGGACUUUAGAUAUAAUGGUUAAAUCUUGUCACAGGGUAAGCUAUUCUCUUUUAAGGCAUCAUACUACCUAGUCAUAGCUACAAGCAAGGAGGACAUUCAAUGUAGUGGAGUGAUUGACAGUCUAAUCAAAUUAUCAAGCCUUGAUCGAUCCUGUGAUAGCAUGGGCAGUGGAAACUUGUCCUAGGAAUCUGUAACAUAAGCACCUAGGUAAUUACGUGUUGUCUAUCUUGCCUCUGGAACAGAACUUGACAAUAAGAAAACCAUGACGAAAUUUUUUUAUAGAAUCUUUGUAUGAUAAACCAAAAACCAAAGGAGUUGCUUUUGCACACACCAGACAGACCCCCAGUUAGAAAACAGAACCAACCUGUAAGGAGUAUCCCCGCCAAACUUCUUUUGAUUGACAAAUCCAGAGAGAAGCUUUAUGUAACCACCACCGCACUCAAUCUCUUGCUCAAACUUAAUAGAGUAUUGGAGAACCAAAGUCCUGUUCUUGUUGCUGAACUCUGGCAGCUUUGCAGAUAUGGCAGAGUGCGCCGCAUCUUUAAUAGUCUGGAUACCUGCAAAUGAAGAGAUUGCAGAACAUCAUAUAUACUAGCCAAGCAACAAUUUUGGCAUGAGAUUGAUGUGUACUUCAUUUAUCUGGCCAACUAGACCACGUGCACAACUUACAAAUCAUCAUAUAUAAACGAAGGCCUUAAGAUGCAGUCGGGCCAUAACCAAAGCAAUAAGCUAACAUCAGAGAACUUCAAUUUAUUAAACCAGAUACACUGAGGGUGAACUUCGAAUUAUGAAACAAGAUACACUGAGGGUCCAGAGGGUCACACGAUCGAACAUUGACAAAAGAGAGACAGAUAAAAAAUAAUCCUUUCAAGAAAAAGGAAGGACGAAAAACCUUUGUCGUCGGGAUCGCCGGGCCACUUUCCGGCCGUGUACUUGAACGUCCCAGCCUUCCCUUCGCUCUUCUUCCAGUCGGACACCACCCAACGUCUCUUCCAUCCGUCUUCAACCCAAAAACCAAAAUCAAUCAUUCAAGUUUCAAACAGCAUCAGAACUAUAUAGAAGCAAAUAAAGAACCGAGAAUCGUGGGACCAAGACCAUCGACGGCAUCGACAGCAUUGACGGAACUGAUUCAGCUCCAGCGUUCGCGAAAAGAAACUCUCCACAAACGAAAUGGGCAUUACGAAUAGCAUCCCCAGAAGCUUAAAAAGGCUUCCUUGGAUGACAACUAAGCUGACUUCGAUCUCCACACAGUUCACUCAUCAAAAAGCCAAGAUAACAAGAAAAGACUGGGAAGAAAGCAAUAGAAUUGAUCAACCAAGCUUUAAUAUUCUCGACCGCUGCUCCAAAGGGUUGUUGUCCCGAGCAAAAUGAGAGCAUGCGGGUAUUGAAAUCAACAAGUUGCAGCGGCAGAAACAGGAGCUCAGCAAGAACAGCAAGAGAGAGAGGGAGUACCCAGGAAGCGCUCCUCGAAGAUGACCUCGGACAGGGCGAGGCGGGCGAGGGAGGAGAGGAGGAGGAGGAGGGCGAGGCAGAGCGGCGACGUCGGGAGGAGAAAGAGGAGCUGCUGCCUGCGCUCGGUCCCCGCCAUUGAUGGGGAGAAAGCUCGGGACUUGCUUGCUGCUUGCUUCGGAGUGGCUUCGGCACUUCGGGUUAUAAAAAGAGAAGACCUUUCAUCUUCCGACCUCCCAUUCGCUCUUAUUUACGAAAGUGCCACGCUGCCACGACAUGCCCACUUUUGCGUUUUGCCUAUCCAAUAGGAGGCCAAGGAAAAUCCCACGUAGGCUCGACUUUAUUUAUUUAUUUAUUAUUAUUUGGGACACUUUGUUUUCCGUUUUCAUAAUUACUUUAAUCAUUCUGGCCAUUCACACUGAAUCCGCUUACCUCAUUUAACGAAAUUUUUUUAAAAUUUUUAAAAACCUUUUCCUAAAAUUGGUCAUUUAUGUUUCUUACAAAAAUAUAAAUUGUUUAAAUCAUGAAAACAUUUUAUACUAAUUAAUUAUUGUAAAUGAUCAUUUUUAAGAAAAUGCUUUUCGAAUAAACAAGCAGAGCUCUAAAACUUUGCAACAUGCCCCAUUAAAGUACCUAGUAUCGCUUAUUUACGAGAUUUUUUAUCUUCUUCAUAUACGCAGAGGGUAGCCUCCCUCUACAUGUUGGCUUGAGUUUUGAAUUAAACUUUCUAACAUGAUAGCUUAUAUGCCCUCCUUUACUCUCGAUUAACAUUGCACAUAGUUUCAUCUUAUCUAUAUCUGGCAUUAACAUCAUCGGAUUUAAAAUUCUAUAUACCAAACAAAAGACAACCCAAGCAUGAGCGGAUUUGAAUAAUAAUAAAAAUAAUAUAAAUAAAUAAUCAAAAGGGAAUCAAUGUUAGACAUAGACAAGUCAUUGAUGAAUCAAAUAAAAUAAAAAAAUAAAUGUGUUGUGUUGCUUUGUGCUUGACUUUGACUCUUCUUUGUCUAUAAACGUGGAAAGGGCCUCUCAGCCAAUGAGAAGAAACAGAGCACGUAGCGCCCACCAAUCGCGUUGCUCCUUUGUUUAGUCAAAUCCAAGCCCUGUCGUCCUCCAUCUCUCUCUCCUCAUCCUUUUUUCCACUUACAGAUUAUAUUAUUUCGAAAUUACUAAAUUAAUUACGACCCGACUGACACGGUAAAUUAUUCCUUUACAAUUAUGCCCUUGAACCACUUUCUCCAGUGUCACGGUUUUGCUAUGUCCCGCCGGCAAUGGUUUCGAACCGGGAAACAAGUUUCCGAAUGUAGAACCCAAGUUAUACGGAAGGUUAACACCAACCAUCACGCUAACAGGGGGAACACUUGUCCAAAUAAGUCCUAGAUUUAUCGUACGGUGGUCAGUUUUGUCUUAAAUUUUUUUAAUUGUGUUAAUUUAGUUUUAAAUAUUUUGAUGAUUUGUUAGAUUAGUCAUAAAUAUUUUAAUAAAUUUUUAAUAUAGUCAUUUUGGGUAAUUUUAAUAGAAAAUCGCUAACAGAUGGUCUAAUUAGCGCCGACUAUCUUACUUGGUGCGAUUGGCACAUAGUCGACAUUAUAGUGAAUAAUUUCUUUAUUUAUAAAAAAUUCCACUUGUCACGGGCCGAUCGAUCAACUCUCGAUCGAUUCUCGAUUCACCCGUGCGGCCUUAAGGUUUUACCCCUAAGCAGCCUUUCACACUCGAGUCACAACGAACUUCUAGAGAGAUAAACACUUAAUGAGAGAGAAGCUCUGGAUUUUCAUAUAUGUUGUGAAUGAGUUACAAUGAGGGAGGACACCCCUUUAUAUACAAGUAUAAGGCAAACCCUACCCGUAGAUCUUCCUUAGAUCUAACGGUGGAGAUUGCACCUCCUCACCUACCAACCACUUGUAUUCAUAGCCAACUACCAGCUAUAUGCAUUUAUGGUCAACUACCAGCUACUCGCAUUUAUAACGUAUGCGUACAAAUACGGUAUCACCCGCCCCUAGGAGAAUACUGUACAUCUCGGGAACAUAGGUCGAGGGUCAUCACGUGUCACGCCCGUGCCAUGGAAACCUCUUGGACAUGCUAACUUUCGGGCCGUGACACAUGCAUGUGGACAAGUGAGGUUCGACGCCAAUUUGGUUUUCUCCCUAGCUUUGGAAGGAAUUAACGUCGGAGUGAAAAUGCUCGACGUCGACCCUGCGGUGUUCCGACGGAUGCUAUCCAUCACGGGUUGGGUCGUCACCAACUCCAAAACAAGGACCAUCCUCACGAGCAUGUGCAUGGCACCUGUCGUUGACAUGUGAGUUGGCGAAACUUAUGAUUCGAUGAUUCAAUUAUCCAUUUAGAAUCUUCUAGACCAGUAGGUCGUAUUAGUAUUCUACGAGGUUCUAGACUAGCGAAAAGUCAGUGGCGCAGAUAAGGAAAAGAUCUCUGGCAAAAGUCUAGAUUUUUGCACGUAAAGAAUUAGGGAACUGGCCACGGCUACGGAAUACCUGAGACCUCGAGUUUGGUAGCUCCCUAUCCGAGUGGAUACCAAGUUCUUUACCUCCAAACUUUAGAGAUCUCUUGUAAAAUCAGGAGACUCUCUGAUUUUUGCUGCAACUCAGUCCGUUUCCUAGCCCUUUACGGUGACUGCAGCAGUCCAGAUUGUCAAGUAAGUCUUCUUGCUAUCGUAAGCUUUUUCUUUUGGUCGCUUAAAUGGUAGCAAUUUCUCCCGGGAUCAAAGUUUCGACACAUAGUUGAAAGCCUGCAGAAUAGGCUCCUUGUCAUAUCUGACCGUAUCAAGACCAGUUUUUAAUCUGAUCCUAAAGAAUCUCACCGGCAAAGUUUGGUGGCGAAGCGCCUAUGUAAUACCUAAACCAAGGCAGAGGACAUUUUAUCGGCAUCUAAAUAUUUCGAUUCUUUGCAAAGGGAAUGUUAGGUUGGUUGUCCCUUUUUGGUCUUCAGUAUUUAACCAAACAAGAUAAGUGAGACGAGUGGCCACCUCGCCUUAUUUUUGUAUGUAUGAUAUGAACCUGUACGCAAAUAAGGCACAAAGGUGCAACUUCGGGAGACUAUUUUGGCCCAAGGAGGUUCGGGCAGAUUUGGCCUGAGAUACCUUAAAGGCAGGGCAUGUUUGAGUGAUUGCUGAUGAAGAUAGAGUGGUGGUUUAUAGUUUUUUGAUUCUUUCAUGCAUGAUGACAAUUACUGAUCUUAAAGUAUUAUUUGCCCUCACUAUUUUCUAUCGGGUUUAUAAUAAAUAUACCUCAUGGAUAUAUGCCAAAGUCAUAGAGAAACGAGUUCAACAGUUACUUAAUUUCUCUCUUGGAAUUUUACUUCAAAUGCGCUGUUAAACUUGGGUGUAAAAGAAAAAUAAUAGAAAAUAUUGUGAAGAAGAGAGAUAUAUGAAGAAGAGAAGGUUGUUGUUCUUGAACAUGUAUUUUGAGUAAUGUAUGAUUUGAUGCCAUUCACAGACAACUAACACAUUUUUAGGGAAUAAGUACUUUAUUCCUACCAUCAUCACUUUUCAUGAUGGAGCAUUGGUUCUCUCAAUGUUAACAAUUAAUUCUUUUCAUAUCCAACAAUCACCUCUUUUCAUGAUAACAAACUAUUUCAAUGAGGACACAACAAUACAAGACCAACCUCCUCUUGAUGAACAAGAGAUAAAGGAACUCUUUCUGAAGACAAUUCCUUAUGAAUUCUAUGCGAAAAUGAUUAGCUUGGGCUGUCAAACCUUCUCACAAUCGGUUAUAGUUGGAGAAAGAACUGAAGAAGCGGUGCGUGAUGGAAGGAUAAACGAAGUAAUGUCGAAAAUUCGCAAAUAGGAAAGCAAAGGAUGCGAAGGUAGCGUAUGUUCGAGCUCCAUUAAUACCGAUAUCUUUCUUGGCACCUCUUCAGGGACCAUCGGCAUCACAUGGAAAAGUAUUGUAUAAUUAUGAUCAAGACUUAAAAAGGCACCAAGGCAAUUCUCCUCAUUGCUUAGGCCACUGUCAGAACUCAUACCUAUGUUUCUAGAAAGGGGAAUGAUUACCAAAAAAAUUUCUUGAGACAAUCCUCCCAAAUUCGAUGGAUUCGAACCCUCCAAGUCAAGUGAAUAUUACAUGGGUGAGAAAGGGCACGACACAGAUAAUUGCUUGGCAUCGAAGAUCAAAAUUCAGAACUUAUUAGAUAGGGAAAUACUGUCGUUUAAGGAUGCUCAACCUAGUGGGCAACAAAACUUGUUGCCAAAUCAUCCUGCCCAUUGCCUCAACAGAGUUAAAGUUGAUCUAUCUUCAUUAUUGAUCAAAUCUAAGAGUAUAUUUGCGCAAUGGGCCAGUUGAGCACGAAGACCUACAUUCCGAGGACCCGUUUCUGGACUCUUUUUGCUAUAGAUCCCUCUAUGGCUGAGAGCCUCUGACACUGCACGACUCUGCUUACCUUACAUAUCUCGGAUUUAGGUGCCCUAGUAUGGCCAUUUCAAUCUCCUUGAUUUAUUAGGCUUUAUGCUUAUUUGGAUUAGAAUAAGGAUAUGCUUCCCGAAGAAUAAUUGAUAAGCCCAAACUACAGAUUUAUAAUUGUACCCUUAAAGUACUCCAAGCUCACCAGCACCAGAAGGCUAAAUGAUUUAAAUGAGAGAGAGCGACCCCUAUUUAGAAAGGAACCCGUCUAAUUACUACCGUAAAUCUCCACUUGAUCUAAUGGUAGAGAUCUUACCACUUAUUUAUGUUAACUAAGUGCAUCUCUAGAAUACAAGUGUACGCUUUCCUUGAUACUCAUGACAAUAUUUAAGAGUUCUCAUGAUACCUAGAGGUUUAGAACCUUCAAGACUAGCUCAACUAUCUAGGCUACUUCCUCGACCUAUUGUGUCUUGAAAAUCUUUGGUCCGUGUCACCCAUGUAAACGCCCCCUCCCUCAAAUCUCUAUUCUAUUCUUCUUAUUACCAUGCACUGCAAGGGUAUUGAUUUUUUUAAUGUAUUCUAUGCUUCUUUUAAAGGUCAUAAGAUGCACAUAAUUCACAAUGAAAUCGGAAUCCGCAUCCUUUCAUACACACUAGCCGUAUCCCUAUGCAACAUGGUAUAAAAUUACAUUUCAUUCGAAGAAGAUCACAUAUUUUUUUUAGAUCACACGCAUAUAAUUCACGUUGAUAUCAUAAACCACAACCUUUCCAAAUGCACUACCUGUAUAAGUUCCCACGUGUAGCAGUGAAAUGAUAAAGUUUGGUUGAAAAAUAAAACAUUAUUAUUGUUAUUUUUAUUUUUGCAAAAGAUCGGACAUUUAUAAAUAUAGUGAUAUAGACAGUAUUGCUAUUUGAACUAUGUCGUGCUUGGACUCUGGCCAAUUUGCAACCUUGUGUGGAGGAAAGACUUUCUCACUUCUUGCACACAUAUGUGAUUGCUACAACAAGUUUAUCAACACCAGAUUUUCGAGUCACGGGUGUAAUGAGCAUACAUCUCAUAUUCAUGAAGAGGUAGUUAUAGUGGUUGGUCCUCUUUACUCUUAGAUCCAGCUGCACUUUUUAAUACGGCUACUUUAUCACGACUUCACUCUAGUCACUCGUCCUACCUUUGACAUCCCCUUCUUGCAAUUAAGAAUAGAUAGGCAAAUCCAAAAAAAAGUAUUAUUUGUAGUCAAUUGUUUUGAAAUGGGAAAUUUUGACUUAAUAUCGUUGUUUAGCAAAUGAAACAAAGUUCAUUAUGAGCAUCAUGUAGUUGUAUAUUUUAUUAAGUGCAUAAGAUGAUACGAUCAAUCAAAUUAGUAUGAUUGAUUCAUAGAAAUUGAAGCAAGUUUAAUUUAAUACGAUUUCAUCACUCCAUCUCGAAUUCGAUCCAACCCUUGUAGGAUUUAAAUGGUUUUUGGAUUUUAGAUCAUGAGACGAGUUUUGAUUCCAAUUUUACAAAACACAAUAUCAUGCGUUGAAAUAGCACGGCAUUUUAUGUAUUUUACAAAGUAUAGCUACAUUUAGAAAUCAAGUAUGUGCUUCUACAUGUAUUACGAUGAGCACAUAGGCUACCAAAAACUUCAUGUGACUUUUUAAGUAACUUAUUCCAUUGAACCAACAAUUAUGAUAUUGGUUUUAUGAUAGAAAUUGCCAUGACUCCACAUAUAUUGCGGUGAGUUUAAGGAUCCAUUUAUUUUGUGGAAAAUGAAAAAUUUUAAAAAAUAUUUUCCUAAAAAUGGUCACUUGUCUCGCUUAAAAGUUAAAUGAAAAGAAUUUCAUCAUCUGUUAAAAGGUUUAUAUGUAAAUUUUUGUAGACAACUUUCAUACCCAUUAUUUUAAAUGAUACAAUUACUCAUUUUUGGGAAAGUAUUUUUUAAAUUGUUCAUUUUUCUCAAAACAGUGAAAUACAACUUUUAGGAAGAAAACUAUUCCAACGCUUGAUUCACAGAAAAUAAACUAAUUAAAGAAAAUAUUUUCGUCAAUAAAAAAAAAAAACAAACUACAAGAUCCUCGACAGUGAGUCCACACAUUCGCCGCCACCACCUACCAUGAGGGCACAGUCACGGGAGGUAGGCAAGUCUAGAGGGGGUUAGCUCAGCGAUAGGAUUGGCUGGGCUGGGCUGGUGCUGUGAACAAAGUCAGGACUAGAUUCGAAUGUGGCAUUAGAGGGUGAGGUUGGGACGAAGGACAAAUAAAAAGGAAAAUUGAAAAAAAAUCAACAUUUUUGGUAAUUUUUUUAAGAAAACUAAUUUAAUUUUUCAUAUUAAAUAGCAGAAAAUAUGUUCUAAUUCAAUUUCAAGUUUAAGCAAAAUACCCAAAAAUACUGUUAUUUUCUAGACAUGUCGCUUUUUUUUUUGGCUAAACGAGCGGAGUGAAGUUCAGGGCACAAUUGGAAAUCGCCGAUGCCACGUCAGACGGGUUGCUGCUCCGGCGAGAGACCACGUAAGUUUGGUCAGUAACGUAAUUAUAAGGAAAGAAAGAGGGCAAAAUGUUACGGGUGGAAGGGAGGAAGAAAGAGCAGACUUGACUCUCCCGUUGACUCUCCUUUUCAAAGUCUCCGGGGGCCUGACCCCACCCCGGUCCCCAAUCUUCCUCGAGUCCGUCGUCUUGCCCCGAACCCAAAGCAUACGCAGCUUGACUGCUGACCCCUGAUUUUCUGCCUCCGCGACUGGUUUACUCACACGGAAUUUCAGGAGUAAAUUGUACUAGAAAAGUGAAAUUCUGACAUCUGAAAAUUUUCAUCGAGAUUUAAGACUCUUCUGUUCUUCAAUCAAGAAAUUGUAAAGGUUUUUUUUUUCUUUUUGACAGGAGGAACCGGCUUGCGCCGACAGCGCGCCGUAAACCCCCUGGACGACACGUGCUAGCCACCACACACGUGCCACCAGGUAAGUCACCUAGUAUCUUUGCCAGCCUCCGUGCUUCGCAGGAGUUUCGAACGCUUGACCUAUCAUCGAGAGAAGGAGCGCCUACCCAGUUGAGCCACCGCGGCGGGUGGUAGAAAUUGUGAAGGUUCUUUUCAUGAAAAAUAAUAUAAAUGGUCUCUGAACUUUACUCAAACGUAUAAUGUAAUUCAUGAAUUUUUUACUUAUUCACUAUAGUCUAUAAACUAUAUAGCCCGAUGUGCAAUAAAAUUAUUGAACUUUUAAUUUAUUCAACAUGAUAUCCAAACUUUUUAUAUAUGUUAGUGAAAAUAUUCAAUAUUAUCCUUGAACUUGAAUCAAAGAAAUGAUAACAUUGGAUAUUUUCAUAUAAUAUAAGGAUUAGAUUGAAUAUUUACCAAAAGUUUAAUGCUCACAUUGACUAAAAUAAAAUUUUAUGAACCACAUUAUAAUCGGGAUAAAAUUCAGAGACUAUGUUGAACAGAUUAAAGGUUCAAAUACCAUAUUAAAUAUUUAGCUAAAGUUCAAAGACUAUUUGUGUAAUUUAUCAAUUCCUAACUCCAUUAGAGAAUCGUCGCCAUGCCUUUCUAAUCUCAAUGGUAUCAUCUAUCUUCGUGGUCCUAGGUUAUAUGUGUUUUUUGUUUUCCUCCGUCUCGAACCUUGCGGCAGUAUAGAUUUUGCGCCCAAGUGCUUCCUUUAGCUCUAAUAAAUGCAAAGAGAAUUGUAGAGUAUCUUUCAAAUGUGAGAUGGAAUCGAAGGCGCAUGAAUCGCGAGAGAUUGUAAAUGUUCCAUCGCUUAUAAAAAUGAUCAAGAACAAUAUAAUCAACAUCGGACGGUGACGUCUACGAGUCGGCCUAGGAGUCACCUUCUGAAAGCAGUCGAAGUCAACAACCGAACAAAAGUACAAUUUUUUUGCAAAAGCUUAGCUCUGAGAAAAGUGUCCAAAGCACAAGCCCAUGGAACCCAACUCAGCUCAGCGAUCGCAUGCAGCCCAUCAAGCCCAUCAGGUUUAUCAUCACCAUAUAUAUAUAAACUACCCAUUCUCUCUCCAGCAUUUUUCACUCACCCCCUCUAUAGCCAAUCCCAAGUGCUCCGGUUGUGACAAGGAAUCAUUUUCUCUCACACCCUCGAGUUCAUCGAAGUCUCGUAAUACUCGGAUUGGAUUGUAAACAUUGUCCCGUGACGAUGAAGGACGGCUGAGUUAGGGUGUGCAUUGAUUAUUAGGAUUUAAAUCGAGUUAGCUUCGUACACAUGCAUACACCAAAUGCUGUCUUCCUUCUAGUCACAUCCUUUAUCUGUACAAAUAGAUGUACUACGUGGGUAAACAUGUCAGUGCAUAGGUAGGUAAAAGGUUGUAAUCAAGAAAGUAAUGAUGGCAUGAAACGUAUACCUACAAUAGAGUGCGCUAGAACCAUGAGCCCAUCGAUUUUACUUUAUGAACACCUAGACUGGACUCCCGAAGAACCAAAACUUAAUAAGGGGGAUGCCUAAGUGUCCAAAGUUAGAAAAUGUACACUUAAAUGUCAAAAUCUAAGUAAAAUGAAUCAGUUAAACACAAAUGACAAGAAAAUCCUACCAAAGUACUGACGUAGUGUUUUUCCCACGAAACAAGUGCAAAACUUUGCACGCUAAUAUGGUUACGAGGAGCGACUUUUUUAUAUAAUAAAUAUCUAUAUAGCAAUCGCGCGCGCGCGCGCGCACACGCACACACACACACACACAUAUAUAUAUAUAUAUAUAUAUAUAUAUAUAUAUAUAUAUAUAUAUAUAUAUAUAUAUAUAUAUAUGUGUGUGUGUGUGUGUGUGUGUGCGCGCGCGUGCUUUUCGUAACUUUCGAUACUUAAAUAUCAAUGUACUAAAUUUGAGCACUUGCACUAUACUUUUGCCAUACUUCAUGUUUGGAUCCUCUUGCAUCCUCACUGUCCCUGAAUUGGGAAUGCUUAAUGAUUUUAUUUUUAGAUGAGCAUUGUAAACCUUGCGUUUUCGCAGCUUAUCCUACAAAGAAGCUUUCUUUUUAUUUUUUCAUUCUUCUGCUAUGUAAUAUGGAUGCUCAUUUUUCUUUAAUUUGUACAAAAUUUUUGUGAGAUCAAAAAGGAGCUUUCUGCUACUUUAUCUAUUGUCUGGUCAUCUUUGUGCCUCCAUGUUCAUAAUCUUGAGUUCAUUUCAGAGGUCAUCUUUGCAUCCAAUGAUGCAAAAGAUGCACUUGCAGCUAAAAUCAAUAGAGAGCGCAUUGAAACAGAAGUAUGUGUCUAUAACAUUCCUUUAUUGGCAGCUUUAUCUCGUAUAAAUGUUCUUUUGGUGGAAGUUCUUCUUGUGGCCUUUAUCUUUUCUCUCAACAUCUGUAUAUGGUUUGUAUUUUCCGUUUGAUUGUUACUUCUCCUUGAUGAGAUGGGAUCAAUGUUUUUCCCCUUCUUCGGUAUGGCAGGUUGAUCUGAUGAAAUCAGGCAAUGAACCAGUUAAAGCAGCCUACAUCUAUGAGUAGCAAUUGUUUUGGGUUGUCUUCAGUCUACCUCAUGAACAUGAACCGACAUUGCCAGAAGGGUGCGAUAGGUUGGUUUGUUGGGAUGGGUUCACAAUUGACCAUUUUUCAAAGAGUAAUUCACACCUAUAAUAUUGAAAACCGAUGGUUUAGGACCCAUGGAGUGACAAUAUAUAAGGUGAGAAGUAAACCUUGUUUUAAAAUUAACGAAUGUGGAAGCUAAUCAGGAUUUUGUAAUGAAGUCAAUGUGAAAUCACUGAAAAUAUAUAUAAGGAACAAUAGAGAAUCUAGAGGUUUACGUAAUUCAAUUCAAGUGUUAGCUCCUAUAUUCAUGGAAAGUGUCAGCAGCAACCAUCUACUUUAAUCGAAUAAUUGGAGCUACAAUGGCUCAACAUGUUCAAGUGUUUUUCAUGCCUAUAUUAAACUCAAACCCAAGGUAUUAAUAAAUAACUCAUUUUGCACAUAAAAAACUCACAGCAUAUAUUACACGCUUUGCCCGCGACCAAAGGGGAGUCCCUUUAACACGUCCGAAAAUCAAGGAGCUAGUCCGUUCUUAAUUUCCAUUCUUCGUAGCACCGCUUUCCAAGAAGUCACUGUGCAGCUGUCAAAUCCUCCAUCUUGCUGUGCGGCUGCGACUCUGAAGGAACACAAGUGUGUGUUUUGACGUGCGUGUGUGCCCCUUUCUUUGGUUCAAUGAAUCUGCAAUACGUGUAUGCCCCCUUCUUUGGUUGGGCCAAUCUGCAGUACUUCAAAGUCUAGCCCUUUGGUUUGGGUUAAACUCGCAAAUUUAGUCAACUAGAUCAGGUUUCACCGUGUGAAAAGGUGUCUCGAUCAAUGAAAAUUCAUAUGCUUUUGAAGGUCUUCAUUUCUUAUAUAGUUCAAUCCGGAAGAGACUUCACUUGUAACUUGUUAGGACACAAAAUCCAAUCACGAUGAAAAAGCAUAUGGCAAUUAUGUUCCUGUUUUUCUAUGCCCAGCUCCCAUUAUGGACGAGUUCAGCGUUGCAAACCAACCGAACGGAUCGGCUCGCUUUAAUCUACUUCAAAGAUAAUGUGGACGAGGAUCCACUCGGAGUCCUGAGCUCAUGGAACGACUCUUCUCAUCACUGUGAGUGGCAAGGUGUUAAAUGUGGUGGACGGCAUCCCGAAAGGGUCGUGUCACUCGACCUGAUGUCGAAAGGUUUGGGCGGUCUUCUAUCACCUCAUGUCGGAAACCUCUCUUUCCUAAGAAGCCUCAUUCUACAGAAUAAUAGCUUUCGUGGCGAAAUUCCACAAAGCAUUGGCCAUUAUUUCGCCUUCGUUGUCUCAUCCUUAGUAACAACUAUUUCAGUAGACAAAUGCCCACUAAUAUUUCUCAAUGCUUAAACCUUGAGAUUUUGAAUCUCAUUGAUAACCAACUUGUGGGCAAAAUUCCCGAUGAUCUCGGCUCCUUGUCAAAGCUUCAAGUUUUAGAUUUGGCUAGUAACAGUCUUACAGGAUCUAUUCCUCAUUCUAUUGGAAAUCUCUCCAAACUUCACACUCUUUCCGUCAAAGAAAAUGGGUUGCAAGGAGAGAUUCCCAAGACAUUGUCCAAGCUUCAUGGUUUGUGGUAUGUUCAAAUGGCGAUUAACCAACUCACUAGCGAGAUCCCUCUAGCAAUCUUCAACAUCUCCAGCAUUUUCUAUUUCAAUGCUGGUGACAAUCAAUUGAGGGGGAGCAUUCCUCCUUAUAUCGGUGAUAGUCUUCCUUAUCUCACUUAUCUUGAUCUUAGGAGCAAUUUAUUUACUGGCAUUAUACCUCCAUCCUUAUCGAAUGCCUCCGGCCUUCAGUACAUCUACUUUAACUAUAACAGUUUGCAAGGACCAAUGCCCCCAAAUCUUGGAUGGCUAAAAGCUCUUAGAGGAAUGUUCCUUGCUUUUAACCAGUUGCAAGAUGACUUCAGUUUCAUUACCUCAUUGACUAAUUGUUCAAGGCUAGACCAUAUUUGGGUGGACUCCAAUUUUCUUGAAGGUCGGUUGCCGGAUUCCAUCGGCAAUCUUUCCAAGAGCAUUCAAGUAAUUUCUAUGUCAUCCAACCCAAUUUAUGGAGCCAUUCCUUUAGGUAUUGGCAAUCUCUUCAACUUGUCUGUUCUUGGCUUAGCAAACAAUUUUCUCGAUGGCCAUGUUCCUUCUUCUAUUGGAGCACUCCAUAACAUGCACGAAUUGUUCUUAAGCACUAACAUGCUAACGGGAGAGAUCCCAUCAUCGAUCGGCAAUUUGACAUCAUUGAAUUGCCUUAACUUGUCAGCCAAUGACUUCUAUGGGGAAAUACCACAUAGUCUUGGUAACUGCAGGCAGCUAAUCCAGCUUGAGCUUUCGAACAAUAAUCUGAGUGGUUCAAUCCCAGGGGAGGUUCUUAGCCUUUCUACCAUUGCGAUUAUCUUCAGCUUGUCACAUAACCAGUUGAGCGGAUCUCUUCCAUCUCAAGUUGGGUCCUUGGCCAAUCUUGUCGAACUAGAUUUGUCUUACAAUAAGCUGACAGGACCAAUUUCUAGCUAUAUCAGCAAGUGCUUGCAAUUGGAGAGGCUCAACUUAGCAGUCAAUUCCUUUCAUGGCGAAAUUCCUCUGGCUUUAGGCACACUACGGGGCUUACAAGAGUUGGAUGUUUCCCAUAACGACUUAUCUGGUAAAAUCCCGAGCUUUCUUGCUAAACUUACAGAUCUAAACUACUUGAAUCUAUCUUUAAAUAAGUUUGAAGGAGAAGUUCCGAAGCAAGGAGUAUUUCUCAAUGCUAGUGCAAUGUUCGUCUUUGAAAAUAGGAAUCUAUGUGGAGGUAUUGCAGAACUAAAUCUUCCCUCUUGCAAAUCAAAUACCUCUAAAUCAUUUUGGACCAAAAAAGUACAGUAAUCAUUGUAGUGGCAAAAGAACGCUUCAAGUGCCAUAACUUUGGCCAAAGGGACACUUAAGUGCCAUAACUUACGAAAGGUACACUUAAGUGCCAAAUUCGAAAAAAAACGGAUCACUUGAGUGCCACUCCGGCCAAAGUCCGGCCAAAACGCCAACGUGGCGUAUUUCCGGUGAAGCGCGCCCAAAACGACACCGUUUUGCACGCUGACGUGGCCAAAACGGCGUCGUUUUGGGCCGACGUGGCAAAAAGAAAAUUAAAAAAUUAAUUAAAUUAAUUUUAAAAUUAAAUUUAGUUAAAAUAUUUAAAAAUAAUAAUUUUAAAAUUAAAUUUAUUUAAAAUGUUUUAAAAAACUUUAAAAACCUUUAAAAAUAUUUUUAAAAAUUAAAAAAUUAAAAAUUAAAAAAAAAAAAAGGGAAUGGGGGGAGGCGGCUGAUGGAUCAGCCCUCAGCUGCCGCCGCCUCCGCCGCCCCGCCGCCGCCGGGAAGGGCCGGCGACACGCCUUGGAGCGGCUAUAGUCUCAUGUAGGGGGGGGGGUAAAUCUAGGCUUUUUUAGGGGUAACUACUCGAUUUACAUGAAGGGAUGUAUGUACUAUAGUCUCCUGUUAAAGGAUGUCGUAUAGUUUCUUGUGAUAGUCAUUUCAGGCGAUAAUGAUCUCCAUAGAUAUCUCGAUAUAUGUAGUGUUUCAGUGUCAACAAUUUCCAUUCUCAAUUCGAGGAACUUUUAGAGUGGAUAUAGCGCAUAGCUAAUGAAGUUAGCGGUGAGCAUACUACGGAUGGGCUAGUCUACCCCUGAACCUUAAGAUCAACUCGCACAACGCUCAUCCAUAAGAUUAUGGCACCGAUAACCGUCCCUAUUGAGAUCGGGNNNNNNNNNNNNNNNNNNNNNNNNNNNNNNNNNNNNNNNNNNNNNNNNNNNNNNNNNNNNNNNNNNNNNNNNNNNNNNNNNNNNNNNNNNNNNNNNNNNNNNNNNNNNNNNNNNNNNNNNNNNNNNNNNNNNNNNNNNNNNNNNNNNNNNNNNNNNNNNNNNNNNNNNNNNNNNNNNNNNNNNNNNNNNNNNNNNNNNNNNNNNNNNNNNNNNNNNNNNNNNNNNNNNNNNNNNNNNNNNNNNNNNNNNNNNNNNNNNNNNNNNNNNNNNNNNNNNNNNNNNNNNNNNNNNNNNNNNNNNNNNNNNNNNNNNNNNNNNNNNNNNNNNNNNNNNNNNNNNNNNNNNNNNNNNNNNNNNNNNNNNNNNNNNNNNNNNNNNNNNNNNNNNNNNNNNNNNNNNNNNNNNNNNNNNNNNNNNNNNNNNNNNNNNNNNNNNNNNNNNNNNNNNNNNNNNNNNNNNNNNNNNNNNNNNNNNNNNNNNNNNNNNNNNNNNNNNNNNNNNNNNNNNNNNNNNNNNNNNNNNNNNNNNNNNNNNNNNNNNNNNNNNNNNNNNNNNNNNNNNNNNNNNNNNNNNNNNNNNNNNNNNNNNNNNNNNNNNNNNNNNNNNNNNNNNNNNNNNNNNNNNNNNNNNNNNNNNNNNNNNNNNNNNNNNNNNNNNNNNNNNNNNNNNNNNNNNNNNNNNNNNNNNNNNNNNNNNNNNNNNNNNNNNNNNNNNNNNNNNNNNNNNNNNNNNNNNNNNNNNNNNNNNNNNNNNNNNNNNNNNNNNNNNNNNNNNNNNNNNNNNNNNNNNNNNNNNNNNNNNNNNNNNNNNNNNNNNNNNNNNNNNNNNNNNNNNNNNNNNNNNNNNNNNNNNNNNNNNNNNNNNNNNNNNNNNNNNNNNNNNNNNNNNNNNNNNNNNNNNNNNNNNNNNNNNNNNNNNNNNNNNNNNNNNNNNNNNNNNNNNNNNNNNNNNNNNNNNNNNNNNNNNNNNNNNNNNNNNNNNNNNNNNNNNNNNNNNNNNNNNNNNNNNNNNNNNNNNNNNNNNNNNNNNNNNNNNNNNNNNNNNNNNNNNNNNNNNNNNNNNNNNNNNNNNNNNNNNNNNNNNNNNNNNNNNNNNNNNNNNNNNNNNNNNNNNNNNNNNNNNNNNNNNNNNNNNNNNNNNNNNNNNNNNNNNNNNNNNNNNNNNNNNNNNNNNNNNNNNNNNNNNNNNNNNNNNNNNNNNNNNNNNNNNNNNNNNNNNNNNNNNNNNNNNNNNNNNNNNNNNNNNNNNNNNNNNNNNNNNNNNNNNNNNNNNNNNNNNNNNNNNNNNNNNNNNNNNNNNNNNNNNNNNNNNNNNNNNNNNNNNNNNNNNNNNNNNNNNNNNNNNNNNNNNNNNNNNNNNNNNNNNNNNNNNNNNNNNNNNNNNNNNNNNNNNNNNNNNNNNNNNNNNNNNNNNNNNNNNNNNNNNNNNNNNNNNNNNNNNNNNNNNNNNNNNNNNNNNNNNNNNNNNNNNNNNNNNNNNNNNNNNNNNNNNNNNNNNNNNNNNNNNNNNNNNNNNNNNNNNNNNNNNNNNNNNNNNNNNNNNNNNNNNNNNNNNNNNNNNNNNNNNNNNNNNNNNNNNNNNNNNNNNNNNNNNNNNNNNNNNNNNNNNNNNNNNNNNNNNNNNNNNNNNNNNNNNNNNNNNNNNNNNNNNNNNNNNNNNNNNNNNNNNNNNNNNNNNNNNNNNNNNNNNNNNNNNNNNNNNNNNNNNNNNNNNNNNNNNNNNNNNNNNNNNNNNNNNNNNNNNNNNNNNNNNNNNNNNNNNNNNNNNNNNNNNNNNNNNNNNNNNNNNNNNNNNNNNNNNNNNNNNNNNNNNNNNNNNNNNNNNNNNNNNNNNNNNNNNNNNNNNNNNNNNNNNNNNNNNNNNNNNNNNNNNNNNNNNNNNNNNNNNNNNNNNNNNNNNNNNNNNNNNNNNNNNNNNNNNNNNNNNNNNNNNNNNNNNNNNNNNNNNNNNNNNNNNNNNNNNNNNNNNNNNNNNNNNNNNNNNNNNNNNNNNNNNNNNNNNNNNNNNNNNNNNNNNNNNNNNNNNNNNNNNNNNNNNNNNNNNNNNNNNNNNNNNNNNNNNNNNNNNNNNNNNNNNNNNNNNNNNNNNNNNNNNNNNNNNNNNNNNNNNNNNNNNNNNNNNNNNNNNNNNNNNNNNNNNNNNNNNNNNNNNNNNNNNNNNNNNNNNNNNNNNNNNNNNNNCACUUAGCACCAAUUGAGUUGAUGCUAGUCAAUUUAUGUCAAAAAUGACAGACGUGGAUGACUGAUCUCCUACGUGGCACAGCGACCUAUAGUGUGAACACUUCCUAUAUAAUUUUUUAAUAACUGUAGGAUUUUGAACAUCUUCAUCCUCGCUUGUUCUUUUUUUUUUUCUAAAUCUGUUUAAUUUUCUUUAAAGUCUUUUUAUAUUUUUAUAUUAUAGUCGGCAAUAUCCACCCUCAAUCUAACUUGAACUUAAAUUAAAUUAUUUAGAAUUUAUUGGUUCCACGUCAGUUGGAAAGAAGCCGUUUUGGCCACGUCAACGUGCGAAACGGCGCCGUUUUGGCCGCGCUUCGCCGGAAAAACGCCACGUUGGCGUUUUGGCCGGAUUUUGGCCGGAUUGGCACUCAAGUGAUGUCUUUUACUCCGAUUUUGGCAGUUAAGUGUACCUUUCGUAAGUUAUGGCACUUAAGUGUCCCUUUGGGCAAAGUUAAGGCACUUGAGAGGUCCGCACGUCUCAUUGUAGUGGUAGCCAUCUUGUCUGGCUUCAUUUUGUGGCUUUGCCUAUUUAUCAUUUGGUAUCAAAGAAAGAAGUCGAAAAAGAUUACAUCUUCAACUGAAUUGCCAUUCGAACACCAAUUAUCGAGGGUCUCUUAUGGGGAGCUUUUUAGAGCCACAAAUGGAUUCUCUAAGAACAAUGUGAUCGGAAAAGGGAGAUAUGGAACUGUCUAUAAAGGAACUACACAGGGAGGUGGAUGUGUGGCGGUUAAGGUGCUUAACUUGGACCACAUAGGUGCUUCGAAGAGUUUCAUCUCAGAAUGCCGAACCUUAGGGGCAAUAAGACACCGAAAUCUCGUGAAGAUAUUGAACGUGUGCUCAAGCAUGGAUUAUCAUGGCAACGAUUUCAAAGCUUUAUUAUACGAAUACAUGGUUAAUGGGAGCUUAGAGAAUUGGAUACACCAAGGAAAAGAAGAAGAUGUCGAGCAUGAACAUAAAUAUGGAAAACCAGGACAUUUGGGACUAAUGCAAAGGUUAGAUAUUGCCAUUGACAUUGCUUCUGCGAUUGAAUAUCUUCACAAGGAUUGCAACCCCAAGAUUGUACAUGGAGAUUUGAAGCCAAGCAACAUCCUUCUAGACAACGAGAUGAUGGGGCGAGUUGGGGAUUUCGGGCUAGCGAAGAUAAGCUCCGUUGCAACGACAGAGGCCAUAGACUUUGACAACCACAACAACUCAAUGGCAGUGAGGGGUUCCGUAGGCUAUGUCCCUCCUGGUAAGAAGUUUUUCUCAUUAAUUGUCUAAGUUUUAUUGCGUUGUCCUUGAAAUGAAAUUUGGAUUUUCAUUGCAUAUCGCUUGAUGUACACAAUUUUAGAGUAUGGCAUGGGGGACAUGGUGUCGACACAAGGCGACAUGUACAGCUACGGUAUUCUUUUAUUGGAAAUGUUCACUGGGAGGAGACCCACGGAAGAGGCUUUCAAGGACAAUUUGAAUCUCCACACCUUUGUCAAGAUGAAUAUGCCCAAUCGAGUGAUGGAGAUCGUGGACUCGGCCAUUUUUAAUGGAGAAAACGAGAAUGACAUUGAGAGGAUUAGAGAUUGCAUUGCCUUCGUCCUAGGGAUUGGAGUUGCAUGUUCAAUGGAGUUGUCACGGGAUCGAAUGGGCAUGGCUGAAGCACUCAAGGAACUACAUAAGAUCAAGGCUAUGUAUGGAGCCAAGCAAAGGCUUGGUUGAAGCAAGUUUAGCAUGCAAACACCUAGACUAGACUUUAUCUUAGGAUUAAUUUAGAUCUGAACAAUAUAAACAUGGAUGGUUGAAAGAAGAAGGAAACCUGGGAUUAGACCAAUAUAUAAGUACUCUAUCUCCAUCUCCAUCUCUUUCUCCAUCAUUAUCGAAAUAUUGUCAAUUUUUUUUUUAGUUUUUGUCAGAUUUGAUGAAAUUAAUUUGACGAUAUAAUUUUAAUUGUAUGCCUAAGUAAUUAGUUUUCUCAUUAGAUUACUUCCGUUGUCUUCACACGUUGUUCUCAUUCAUAUUAAUUGUAAUACAUAAUUGCCUCAAUCCAAUGAAAUCUCUAAAUAUGCUGAUAACAUCAUAAUAUCUCCCCUCAAACUCAAGGUUGUUUUAAGGAAAUCAACUAGAGUUUGGAAACUAGAAAACCAAGCAGAAAAUGAGCCUUUGUUAGACAUCUACGAUUUGAACAUCACAAGGGACAAGGACAUAUGUUGUCAAGUAGAGUAGCGACUGUCCUCAACAUUCGAGUCCAAAGAUGAGGGAGACUCGACCAAAGGCGUGGCAAUAGUCUGUGGGGAACUUACUUGAGCAAAUUUUAGCUACAUAUUAGCAAUCUUUAGAGUGGCCUAUGCCACAAUCUGCAUUUCAAUUCUUUUGUCAAUUAGAGAAGAUGGUAAUGAAGUUUUCAGAGUGAUGGAAUUCAUAAUCUUGUUUCUGUUUAAUGUCUCUAUAUUCAAGAUCAACUCUAAAUUACAAAGGCAUCAAGUUUUCUUCUAAACCUAUCUGUAAGCUCGAGCAAGAAUGAAAUCAGAAUCAAAGAGGGCCAUAUCUUUUGGGGAGGGAUUGUCAUCACCGCAAUUCUACAUCUGGAAAAAUAUCCAUUGAUACGGACGAGCAUGUCCUCCUGGGACAGUUAGCCAUCCAUUACAAGAGUAUUAGACGGCUGAAAUAUGAAUCCUCCAAGCAUUGUAUUAUUUCUAGCAGGCAUGGCAAUGCCACUUUGUUUUGAGUGGGGGGAAAAAGUCCACGAGCUGAAGUAAUUUUAAGUUGGAAACCUUGCCAAGCUACUGGUCCAUUAUUGAUGUCAUCCCAAUACAAAACAUGUCCUAACAACAAUUUUUUUUUUUGUUUGUGUCGUCUCGUCUUUUGUCAAGAAUUUUUGGAAAGAGAACCCAAGUGCGCAACCCAGAAUUUAGCUAGAAUCUUCAUGAAGUUGCAUCUUCUAGAUUAACAUGAUUAUUUUCUCGUUAAUAUUCAUCUUGAAGUGAAGAAGAUUGCACCAUAGGUUAAGCAACAACCAUAUAUGCUUCUUGUGAAGAGUUAUUCCAUUAUUGGCAAAAAGAUGUUGAACCGGUUACCUAGUCUUGUUGAAAGUUCGUUUGUAAAACAAACUAAGUGCACUUUUACUUGUCCCACAUUGGAAAGUUGGGAGGAGAUGGGCCAGUUUAUAAGUGUGAGCAUAAGCUUAAGUGUGAGUUAAACCCCACCAUACCCAUGUACGGAUGCACGAAUGAUUGUGCGAUUUUGGCGAGAUUAUUAAGUGUGCUUAGCGCUUGUGUGCCCGCGGUUUAAUUAGCCCUAACCUUUUAUUUUAAUUUUAUUUCAUAUGGUUAUCUUAUUAACCUUUAUUAGUUCAAAGGUCAUUUUUUGUUUAUUAAGUAUUUUUGGAAAUUAUGAAAAUUCGAAAGUUUAUUUAUUUAAAAAAUAUUUUUAUUAUUUUUGUUAUUCCAAAUUUUUAUGUGUCUUUUCAAGAUAACCUUUGGAAAUGAUACUUGUUUAGUUUGCAACAUUUCCUAAAGGGUUGCAUUUGUUUAUUUUGCAACUUCUUCCAAAAUAAUAUCUUUGUUCACUUUGCGACUUUCCGUGAAAGGUCGCAUAUAUUUUUUAAAAACAAUUUAUGUGCGCACGCGCACGUUUCAUUUUUUGGAUAAACGAGUAAGAGAUCAUUUUCAAGUCUUCUUUCCAAAAUUAUAGUCAUCCUUUCAAUUGCUUUUCUAGAGAGACCUUGGAGAUAUACUAGAAUUACUAUAUAGUAUUCUCAUUUAAGAUUUUGUUAUAUCCUAGAGGAUAUUUGUCGGUGACCAUUAGCAACAUUGUUUGGCAAAUAACUCCUUAAAAAAGUGAUAUUACACCUCAAAGUCCGAUUUGAUUGCGUUAUUGAUUUGAAGCCAUAUUUUCCAACAAUUUUAAGGAUUUAUUUCGUUUAACAAUGGAGUUGGAGACAAUCAAAGUGAUGAAUCAAGACAUGAUGAAACUGAACUAAUUCGAUGGGAACAACUUUGCUUGUUGGAGGGACAAGAUGAUUUUCCUACUCACUGCCCUGAAGAUUUCUUGCAUACUGGAUCCUAACUUGGCGUCUAUAAAAGAUUCGAAGCCUAGAACUGAAGGAGGACAGCCAAGUGCGGAAGCUGUUGAAAGGGUUAACAAGGAGAAGAAGAAAUGUGCUAAGGACAAAUUGUUUUGUCGUUGACACAUUUUGAAUACACUGUCCGAUCGAUUGUACAACUUAUUCACUGAAAUGAAGUCGGCUAGAGAAAUUUGGAACACGCUAUAAUUCAAGUACAAAACGGAGGAGCAAGGUACUAAUAAAUAUCUAAUCGCAAAGUAUUUUGAUUUCAAGUCAAUUGAUACCAAACUCUUGUUGGAACAAGUCCAUGAGUUACAAGUGCUAGUGAAUAAAAUUCACAACCUUAAGACUGAUAUUCCAGAAGCUUUUCAAGUCGGAGCAAUUAUUGCAAAAUUGUCUCCGAGUUAGAAAGACUAGGAAAAAAGGCUAAUGCACAAAUAAGAAGACAUCACCUUGGAGCAAAUACAAAAACAUCUUCGUAUUGAAGAAGAGUUAUGUUUAUGUGAUAAUUCUAUUUUAUAUUAUUCCAAGGUGAAUGCAGAAAAAUCGGCCAGAACUUCAAAGUAAAGAACAUGCAUAAAUUUAAGAAAACACAAAAAAAGAAAAAAUGGGUUGUUGUUUUGUUUGUGACAAACAGGGACACUAUGCCAAGGAUGGCAUUCAUCACAAGAGUAUAUCAAAGGACAAGAACAUUCCAAUAGUGAAGGCAGAUGGGAAUUUGGUUGAAGAAAAUUAUGUGGCCAUGAUUUCAACCAUGUUUUCGAACAUGAAAAUUUAUGAAAUUAAUGAUGCGAUGGCUGUGGUUUCUAAAAUCAACUCUACUACUGUCCAAUUUGGUUGGUGGUUAAAUUCAGAAGCAAUAGUCCAUGUGUGUAGGGACAAAUACAUGUUCAAUCAAUUUGAAGAGACUAUCGAUUCAAAUAUUCAAGAGAUCCUAAUGGCGAAUAAUACUCUUGCAAAGGUUGCUAGAAAAGGCACGGUGGGAUAGACUUCACUUCUGAAAAAAGAUUACUCUUCUUAAUUUGUUAUUUAUACCCGAAAUUAGGAAGAACAUUGUUUCUAUUGAUUUACUUUGAAAGAGGGGGUUCUCGGUUUUGUUUGAAUCCGAUAAGGUUAUCUUGUCGAAAAAUGGACUGUUUGUAGGUAAGGAUUAUACCAAUGAUGGCAUGUAUCAAUUGAGUAUCAAUAAUAAUAUUGCAAAUUUUGCUUAUAUUGUUGAGUUUUCAUUUUUAUGACAUAGUAGGUCGGCACAUAUAAAUAUUCGUUAUUUAAGAAUAUGAAGAAGUUAGACUUGAUAAAUUUCAAUGGCAAAUUUGAUAAGUGUGAAGUAUGUGUUAAGUCUAAAUUUACUAAAAAAACCAUUUCCCGGUGUUUAAAGAAAUUCAAAUUUAUUGGAUUUGGUUCAUAGUGAUAUAUGUGAAUUCAAUGGCAUGCUAACACGUGAUGAUAAAAGAUAUUUUAUUACCUUUGUGUAUGAUUGCAAUAGGUUUUUAUAUGUUUAUCUCAUGAGAUCGAAUGAUGAAGUAUUUACCAUGUUUAAGAAAUAUAAGGCUGAAGUAGAAAAAUUAGAAAGGAAUAUCAAAAUUCUACAUUCAGAUAGAGAUGAAGAAUAAUUUUAAAAUGAAUUCUUUUCAUUUUGUGAAGAACAUGGUAUUAUUUAUCAAGUUUCAGCACCAUGUACUCCACAACAAAAUGGUUUGGCUGAAAGAAAAAAUCGAUCUCUUGGAGAAAUGGUUAAUCAUAUACUUUUAAAUUCAAAGCUACCAAUUAAUCUUGAGGAAGAAGCAUUGCUUACUACAUCAAUAAAAUACCUUCUAAGAAAAAUGACAGGACCCCUUAUGAAGAAUGGAAAUGUAGAAAAUUAAAUUUGUCAUACUUUAAAGUGUGGGGGUGUUUGGCAUACUACCGAGUACCAAAUCCCAAGAGAACAAAACUUAGACCUAGAGCUAUCAAAAGUGUUUUCAUUGGAUAUGCCAAAAAAAGUAAAGCUUAUAGACUUCUUGACUUAAAGUCCAAUGUCAUUAUAGAAUCGAGAAACGUUAAAUUCUUUGAGAAUAAAUACUCUACGAGUUCUGAAAUUAUUGAAAAUAAUUUAAAAUUAGUAGAAACUCAAGUAGAUUCUCAAGAGAAAAAAAAUGAAUGAUUCUAAAGAUAUGAUUGAGCCUAGGAGAAGCACUAGAGCUAGGAAACUAAAAGACUUAAAUCCUGAUUUUAUUAUUCAUGUUUUUUUUUUUGAAUGAGACAAAGAUAAUAGUGUUAUAAAUAAAUAUCAUUAAGUAUUAAAUUUAGAAGACGACCUAAAAGCUUUGAUGAAAUAGACUCAAUAUGUCCAACAAUAUUAGUAGAUUUACCAAAAGAUCCAAGCCCAUUGGGUGUAAAGGAUUUCUAGAAUAAAAUCUCAUUUUGAUGGUUCUAUCUAAGAUUUUAAGGCUAGACUAGUGGUAAAGGGAUAUAGACAAAAUGGAGGAAUAAAUUAUUUUGAUAUGUAUGCUCCUGUUGCACAUAUAAUUUCUAUUCAAAUUCUUUCUGCUCUAUCUUCUAUUUAAUAAUUUUUGUAUUCAUCAAAUAAAUGUCAAGACUGCUUUUUCGAAUGGAAACUCAAAUAAGAAAAUUUAUAUGGAACAACUAGAGGGUUUCAUUCUUCCUGAAAAUGAAAAUAAAGUAUGUAAAUUGAUUAAGUCUCUUUACGAGCUUAGGCAAGCUCCUAAGCAGUGGUAUGAAAAAUUUGAUUCAGUUAUAUUAUCUAAUGGUUUCAUCCACAAUAAUGCUGAUAAAUGUAUGUACUCUAGAUUCGCUAAAGACUAUAAGGUCUUAGUGUGCUUAUAUGUUGAUGAUAUGUUUAUCUUGGAACGAACAUGACUGGAAUUAUUGAGAUUAAGAAGUAUCUAACUUCCAUGUUUAAAAUGAAAGAUUUGGGUGAAGUAGAUACUAUCUUAGGUAUUAAAGUUAAGAAACAUGUCUAACUUCGAUGUUUAAAAUGAAAUAUUUGGGUGAAGUAGAUACUAUCUUAGGUAUUAAAGUUAAGAAACACAGUGGGGGUUACUCUUUAAGCCAAUGUAAUUAUGUUGAGAAAUUAUUAAAUAAAUUUCAACAUCUUGGUUUCAAGGAAAUAACUACUCCAUUUGAUUCCAGUAUUAAAUUGAAUUAUAAUACUAAUAGAGCGGUAGCACAAUUUGAAUAUGCGAGUGCUAGAGGGUCUUUAAUGUAUGCGAUGUAUUGUACUAAACCUGAUAUUACUUAUUCAGUAUGCAAGUUGAGUAGGUAUACUAGUAAUCCAAGUAUAGAAUAUUAAAGGGCUAUUACCAGAAUUUUUUGGUUAUCUUAAGAGAACUAACAUUUAGGAUUGUCCUAUAAUAAUUAUCUGGUUGUAUUAAAAUGAUACACCAAUGCUAGUUGGAUUAUAAGUGUGGGAGAUGAACAUUCCGCUUUUGGUUGGUUUUAGGCUGUAUGCUUUUCUUUUUCUUUUCCUAAUUUUUUAUACUUUGAAAUCUUUGUUUUACAAACAAAGUGGGGGAUUGUUGGAAGUUUGUUUGUAAAACAAACUAAGUGUGUUUUUACUUGUCCCACAUUGGAAAGUUGGGAGGAGAUGGGCCAAUUAAUAAGCGUAAACAUUCUUUAAUGUGUUUAAAGAAAAAAUUAGGUGUGGGCUAGAUCUCACUAUACCCGGGUGUAGGUGCGUGAAUAAUCAUGCUAUUUAGUGCUUGCGCGAUCGCCUAAUUAUUUGCACACUUAGUGCUUGUGCCCCCGCGGUUUAACUAGCACUAAUCCCAUUAUGUUUAUUUUAUUUCAUACGGUUAUCUUAUUAAUUUUUAUUAGUUCAAAUGUUGUUUCUUGUUUAUUAUGUAUUUUUGGAAAUUAUGAAAAUUAAAUUUUAUUUAUUAAAAAUAUAUAUUAUUAUUUUUAUUAUUCCAAAUUUUUGUAUGUGUCUUUUCAAAACAAUUUCGGAAAUAAUACUCAUUCAGUUUGCAACAUUUCCCGAAAGGUUGCGUUUGUUUAUUUUGCAACUUUUUUGGAAAGAACAUCUUUGUUCACUUUGCAACCUUUCAUGAAAAGUCGCUUAUAUUGUUUAAAACCAAUUUAUAUAUAUAUAUAUAUAUAUAUAUAUAUAUAUAUAUAUGUGUGUGUGUGUGUGUGUGUAUGUGUGUGUGUGUGUCAGUUUUUAGAUAAACAAGUAUGAAAUCAUUUUCGAGUCUUCUUUCUAAAACUAUAACCAUCUUUUCAAUUGUUUUAUUAGAGAGACCCUAGAGAUAUACUAGAAUUGCUAUGUAAUAUUCUCAUUUGAGACUUUGUUGUAUUCUAGAGGAUAUUUGCCGAUGACCAUUAGCAACAUGAUGGGACAAAUAAAUCUUUAAAGAAAGUGAUAUCAAGUCUCAUAAUCCGAUUUGAUUGCUCUAUUAAUUCGAAGCCAUAUUUAGCAACAAUCUUCAGUCCCAACCACUUCUAACCUAUUCGGUAUAGUAGACAUCCUUGCUUUUAAUGAUGUUUCCAAAAUCUUAGAUAUCGCAGAGAAGCCGUCUGAAACUCUUAUAUUACCAAAAGCUUUAAGAGGUUGGAUCAUUGAAUGAUCUUGAAUUGUAUGGCAUUGUAAGGCAUAGUGGCAUAAGACCUUUGAGCCAACCCACUGAACUUAUAGAGUCUUGAAUGUUUUCGAAAAAAGGAUUUGUGACUUCCGGCUUUUGUUGAAGUAAUGUCAUAUGAACUUGGUCUGAGAUUGCAACAUGCCUGUGGUCAAGUUAAAAUCUCCAUGUGUGUGAUCUUGAAAUCACCUCUGGCCAAUCUUGUAGAUAGAGGUCUUAGUGGCAUAGGCUGCCUUCCCUGUGAGCUAUUCUUUGGUUCAAUUUCCAUUCAAGUUGCUUUUCUUUUUUGUUUGCGUGCUACUUGUGGACCAUAGUAGUCCAACAUAAAGAUUUUUUUCAUCGACUUGGCUUUAUUUAUUGGUGCUCUCCAAUAAGAAUGCCACUGGGUAGGCCCUUUUACUAAAGUGUGACAUGUACAUUGCAAUGAGGCUUGAUUUUGUUCGGUUCAGCUCCAGUUUUGCUCAAUUGGGGCUUACCAAUUUUCUUGGAAAUACUCAUUCGGAUCAUAUUUUCAGGUAAUGCGGUGGCUGUCCUAGCUCUUUUUACUUUGCUUUUUUGUCCAUAAAAACUAUCAAGCCUCUUCUUUUUGCCUGCUUAACUCUUUUUGGUCCCAUCCAUGUAUAUGUGCAUGUGCAAAUAUAUGAUUGAAAUGCCGAUAUGUGACCCCGGAAACAGAGAAUAGGCGGUUCUAGAUAUUGCAAAUUGUUUUCCCUCAUGCUUUCGACUCUUUUCUCAUGAAAUCUUCGACUUUUUUCUUUUUUUUCUUCAAUUUCCCAUGUUGUCAUAUUUAGGUUCCCCAAUAAAAGGCUUGAUUAAAUUGCCCUCCUAUCUAGACGUCUGUUAUGGAAUAGGAAACAGUUAUUUGUGAAAUUCUCGUGUUUAACUGCAUCAGUUUCUAUGGUGGAUUAUUUUUAUUCCCGCUCCGAUGGAUGGUUCAUGCUUCUACACUUACUGAUUCUUCAUGUCCCUUUCUUGUUGCUGCUUGUCUUGAUCGUUUUUGCCUUUUGGUAAGAAUCACUCUACUUAAAUAAUUUCAUUGGCAGAGCCAAAAAUCAGCUUAAAUGCUUAGACAUGAAUGGAUUUCUAUGAUUUUCCUGGUUGAUGUCUGCUUCCCAUGAAAUUUGUUUUACAUGCUGGAUCACUUUUCCACAAUGGUUGAAAUUACCGCGUGUCUUCUUAUAAGGACAUUGUCAGCGUAGGGGUGUGCAAAACGGACCGCCCAGAUCAGGAACUGCCUGAAUUGGCCCGUUUAGUCCAGUUCUCAAGAGUGUUGGUCUGGUUCUCGGUUCUUAAAGGUGGAACUGGUGUCCAAGCAGUGCUAUUCCUGAUUUCAAGGGAGAACCAGACUGACUAUAUAUACUUUUUUAUUUUAUUAUUUCUUAAAAAAAAUAGGAAAAUGAGAAGUAAACACUAAUUUGGUCCAGUUCCAAAUAGUGAGAAAAAAAGUAAUAAGAAAAAAUAAAUGAUCAUUUCCACUGAACCAGACCGAAACUGAACCAAACUGAUGGUGCGGUCCGGUCACUGGUUCCGAUUUUUGGGAAUCGGACUAGAUCGAAACCGAUCACCCCUAGUGAGUGAUCAUGUUGUUAGUCCCUCUCGAGUCUCAUCUUGAUUCUCUUCCUAUUAAGUCAUGAUCCCUUAAAUGUAUAAAAAUCUUGUUUUUGCACCCCAGUAGAUGGUGGUUCAUUGGUCUUCCUCAAAGGAGCGAACUCGCAAGAAAGUUUCUCAAGUUGCUGCCUCACCAUUCAUCUUGGCAAGUGCUUAAAUAAUGUCGGCGGUCUCGACAAGGCACUUUCUUUCCAUCCCAAGUGUGCCAACGAUGCCAACGUCACUCCGAAUUGGCAGGACCAUUUGCCCCACGCCAUGUCUCAUUAUGAGUAUGUUCUUGCAAAAAAAAAAAUCGGCAUGAAUGUUCGCUUGAAUCUUUUUUAGUGUAAGCCAAUGCAGAUCAAUUUGGCCAAUGAAUGAGAGAUUUUGUGAGAUCAAUAUCUCUAAAAACUUAAACUGUUAGAUAAAAUCAUAAUUUAACGUCUAUUCUAACAAUGAUGUUGUGUGCUGAAAUUCUGUCGCUUUGAGUUUGAAUGUCAUUUUUUUUAGGAAUAAACAUCGCAGAUUGAAUUUUAGUUGUUUCGACAAGCAACAAAAGAAUACAAAUAUUUAUUUCUGUCAACAUUCGCAGUGAUCCAAUAUCAAAUUUCAAUCGACUAGAUAGGUUAUCAUUUUUUUUUAUUAUUAUCAAUUAUAGCAGAUGUAUGGUCCGUUUAGAAUGAUUAUUAUUUUACGUUAACUCCAAAACUCCCAACUUUAACGUAAAUCUUUCAUGCAAUAUUCAUCAACGCCUUCCAUGAUAUGACUUUCAUUUAACAGGAAUAUGGGAAACCUUUUAAACAUAUAAGCUUAAAAAUAAUUUCAAGAGAUUUAAUUAUUCAAGGCGAGAUUUACCGGGCUCAUUAAUAUCGAGAGCAUCUGCUUUUGGAUAUAUAUUACUAUUCGGUGUCAAUUUGACUCUUGACUCUUAGGGGUGAAGGAAAAUAUAGCGCGUGAAUUAUAUAAAAUAUCAUUCAGUGUUAAUAUUUUUGCUAGAUUGUACUUAAAAUAAUAUGAGUUAUAUAAAUUUUUUUGUGAUUCCAAUCAUAUGAGACCAUUUUUUUCAUUUUACUAUUGUUAAUAUCAGUUGACAUUUACAUUAUAUUUGGAAAUCUAAGUUGGUUAUGUCUACCAUGUGGUUUUUACUAGAUGAUGCCUGUCUAACAAAUCAAGCCAAGAGAAGAGAAAAAGUAUAGUAUUAAGCAUUUGUUAUAUCUUAAAUUUUUAUUCAGAGUGUCUUCUAUAUAUUAAAUUUUUAUUCCUAUGAUCAAAUGCUGCAACCAUCAUAACCAUUUUAUAAGAAAUACUGACCCACUAAAGAAAUUAUAGUUUAGCUUGUCAUGUAUUUUAUUAACAGGGGUUCCAUUUUCAAAUUCUUGAAGAGUUUUUUUUUUUUUUAAAGAUUAAGAAAAUAAAGGUAGAAACAGAAAUAAUAGCUACUACAUCAAUUAUAAUUUAUCUAAUGCUAAAUUUGAUUAUAUACUUCAAAGAGAUUUCUUUACUUAUCUUAUUUUAAUUUUUACAGCAUCGAGUGUUAAUAGUAAAGAAUUCAAUUGAAAAAUGACCAUUCACAGAAAAUUAUAGUAUUUAAUUGAUAAAAAUAAAAGGUUCGGGGGCUUAAUCGUACAAUUUACAUAAAAGUAGGGGAAAUUAGGGUAUUACCUAAAAAUUUCGAAAUGCAGAAAACGCGCAUAAGUCGAUAUUUCCCUCCCGCUCGUCGCCCUCCGUCUGCAACGCCAAACCUCUUCUCUCCCUCUCCAAGAAACCAAGAAACCAAGAAACCUGCGACCUCGUACAACCCGCUUUCUCUCUCUCUCCAAGAAACCCAGAAACCUGCAACCUCGUCCAACCCUCUCUUUCUCUCUCUCCAAGAAAACCCAGAAACCUGCGACAGAUACUCGCGACCGCUGAUGGGUAAGCGCCGGCGAACCGAAAUAGCGAAGAUCGCCGACCGGGCAGCCCGGCUCGUGACCUACUCGAAGCGGCGGAAGGGCCUCUUCAACAAGGCGUCCGAGCUCUGCCGCCUCUGCGGCGCUCGCGCGGCCGUCGUCGUCUUCUCCCCCGCCGGCAAGCCCUGCUCGUUCGGCGACCCAUCGGCCGAUGAGAUUAUCGGCGACUACCUCCGCCACGGCGACGUGACCCCGCCGAUGAGCCUGACCCAGUGGGCGGACUGGAUGGAAACGGAGUGGGAGGCUUGCGCAACCGAGGAGGACCUCGAGUCCCUGAUCUUGAAGUACGAAGCCGUCCGCGACUGCGCGCGCGAUAAAUUGAAGUCUUUGGAGGAGGAAGCAUCGCAAGUCAGGGUCGGUGGCGGCGAAUCUCGCAUUCUGAGCGCGGAGGAGAUUGAUGCGCUUUUCGAGGGUUUAGGCCAAUGCCCAGCGCUCUCAGAUCUCUUGACGGACGGCGACGGCGACGGUCUCUUGACUCCGCCGGAAAACUCGGCCGGCGGCGGCGGAAUUUCCGUAGUGGAGUCCGCCCUGGCGCUCUUGGAUCUCGAGGGUCACAUAUCUGAUGCUGCCGGCGGUGGAAGUUUAGGAGCGACGUCGACCCCCACGAGCUCCGAUCUUGAGGAUCAUGGGUUUGAUCCGGACGAGUUGCUGAAUCUAUCGGAGGACGGCGACCUUGAGGAUAAUGGGUUUGACCCGGAUGGGUUCCUGAAUCUGUUGGAGGACGGCGAGGUGGACGGCGGCCGGAAAGGUCCCUCGACUUCGCCGGAGGACUCAGCUGUCGGCGGUGGAUUCAAUGCCGACGACUUCUUUGGACUUGAAGAUCUGCAUGUCCUGCUGUGAAUACGAUGAGUAUAGGUUUUGUUUUUCUUUUGAAACGGCAACUGUACAGCAUAGCAUCAUUCAAUAAAACGCCAAAUUUCUUGUCUUGAGUACAGAGCUUCCUUUUUUUGAUUAUUCUGAUUGGGGUGUCGGAUAUGGAAGGUGCAUGCUGGCAUUUAUGGAUGCUCAUGUGAUGCCGAUGUUGGCAAUCUUUCCUUAAGCCUUAGAUAGGUCAGGAAUAAAUGGCUAGGUAGACAUAUGCUAAACUCGUUUUACUGGUGCGGUUGGAAGUUCGCAAAUGCCACGAGUGUGGACAACCUCUUCCUGAAAGCCUUGAGCCUCCUGCAGAUGAAAAUUGGACAACUGGAAUUUUUGGUUGUGAUGGACGGCCAAAGUUGUAAGUUUCAGGACAAGUGAACUUUUGCAUAAUGUUGUCUAGCGAGUGGAUAAUGGAGAAUCUUGUUGUCUCUUGUUCCAAACAUGCUAGCUAUCUACACAUCUAAAACAAUUUGUAAGCAGGAAUGGAUGGUGUUCACAUAGUCUUGGUAACAAAAUUGCCUUUUCCUUUUGCUGUAUGUGUUUUACGAAUAUUCGACAAUGGCGCAAAUUGCAUGAGCCCAUCAUUGAAGCACUUGAAUUACUUUUGGAACUGAGCUGGUAUUAUUAAUGGGAUUUCCCCUGGGCUUGGUGAACGAAUUGAGGAAAUGUCGGAAAAAAUUGUCAAAUUUCAAUUAAGGUCCACCCAAAAUAGGCUUGUGUUUGAACAGUUGAGUUAAAAUGAGCGGCAGAGUAAGCCUAUGAACUCUUAAGUAAGCAUUAAUGAUGGAUAGUUUAUGGUCAGAUAGGUCACAACAUUCUGCUGGGCUGCUCCACUAUACUUUGCUUAUUCAUAUGUGCCUUGCCUUAGAUUAUUCUUCAUAUUGUCUCAUAUCACAUUUUGGGCUGGUUAAGGAAAAGCUUAUUGCAUGAGUUCCAAUGCAGGCUGGACUUUGUGCCCUUGUGUCCUGUUCGGUCGCAAUGUUAAGAGCUUGACAGAGGACACUCCUUGGACUACUCCAUGCAUCUGUCAUGCCCAUUUUUGUGGAAGGAGGCAUUGCACUAGCAGCAGCUACACCAGCCUUCAAUUGCGUUGACCCUCAUACGUCAUUUCUCAUCAGUAAGGGCUUAAUAUUUGCUUGGCGGAUGUGUGGCAUUUACACUGGCCUUGUUCGCCAAUCACUGCAGAAGAAAUAUCAUUCGAAGGUACUUCAAGCUUUUUCCAUGUGCUUUUAUCUCGCUUUAUUCAGUGAACAACGUGGACUCAACAACCAUCUGCCCGUAAACAUUUUGCUAUGACUGGAGUUGUUUCACUGUGCACCAAUCACAAAUACCUGUUGGCAUGUAUAUUCUGUAGCACACAAUUGCCGUUUACUCUCUGGAGAAAAAUCUCAUUUUCCCGGGGAUGCGGAAUCUAGAUUUAUUACAAAUGACGAAUACUUAAUGUGAGAGGUGUGCAAUGUCCUAUGCUUUCGACAUGUUAAAGAAAGGUGCUAAUUUAUUUACUUUUAGAAAGGGCUUGUGGGAGUCUCCAAAAGAUACGUUAUUAGAUAGUUUGCUUGUUAAGCAAAGUUUCUAUCUCGAAUGGUGCCAAUAGCCUCAUCAUGACUGUGAUUUCUCUUGCAGGCUAAACAAGCUUGAGUAGUAAAGUAUUUGACCAUUUUACUUAGUACAUUUGGAUUUUUUUUUUUUUUUGGCACUUCUUACUUAAACGAACAAGUUCUAGUCCUCUUGUCUGACUCUUUCCAUUUCCUCCUCUCUACUAACGACUGCAGAAUUCCUCGUGUGAUCCAUGCUUGGUGCAUUGCUGCAUGCACUGGUGCGCUCUGUGUCAGGAGCACGGAGAGAUGAAAGGUCGACUCUCAGAAAAUGUUGUUCCGCCAAUGACUACUGUAAAUCCUCCCCCUGUUCAAGAGAUGAACUCUGUGAGUGAAGCCCAGGAUUUUGCACCACCUUCAGCAUACAACAGUGAGCACACGAAAUUGGAAAUGCAAGCUUUAUAGCAACAUAAAUCUCUCUACAUACGGAGAUAAUAUUCAAUCACUGGCGUUCGUCAAUUUGGUAUCAUAUUUGUUGGCGAUCUUCUUUGUGUUUGUUUUAAGAUUUUGAUGACUUUGAUUUAGGAUUCUGUGUGACCUUGUGGUGCCAAUGGACCAUAUUGCUAAAUUUGGACCCAAUUAGAUUUCCAAAAGAUAAUAGUAGCUGUUGAACUGUUACUCGCAGGAAGUUGUUUUGUCAAAUUUCCUUAUGCAAGUCUUGCAUAACAUCUUCAUAUUGAUGUCAAUCGUCAUUUGUUUGCAGUGAUAUAUUUUAUAUCCUUCUUUUUAUUAUUCUUAUUUUAGGCUCCAAUCCGUUUCACAUCUUCUAAUACUCGGAGGACAAGUAUUAAUAUUUGUAUAGGACAUUGAAAUUUGCUUUUACAACACAAGUCACUCAAUCAUCUCUUAUAUUGUUUUUCCUUUCUUUUUCUUACCAUUGAAUUAAUGUCUGUUGGCUGUUCUUCAUAUUUUUACUGCUGAUAUGUGCCGGUAUCUGUGUUGGUUUUUUCGCUUGACGCGGUAUGGAGUUCCUGGCCAGAUCUGCAGCUAGAGAUGGUCCACUUGUUGCUUUUGGUGGAUGGGCUGGUGUCAAGAGAGUACUUUCAAUGAUAACAUGGAAGGCUUGGCCUUUGUCAAUUUUGUGGUCUGAAUGUUAGUGCUGAACAUGCAAUUCGAGGAUAUUAAAUUAUCUGCAGCUUGUAGGGAGAUACACAGGCGGUCAUAAAGGAUCAAUUGCUUGUCUAAUGACCAUCAUGGCUUCUUCUGGUGAGGUAUAUAUUCAUAACUCAUUUUUAUUUAGCUUUCAUUGUUUUGUUAUUUGGCUGUGAAUGCUUAUUAUAUGGGCAAAUUGAUGGAAUGAGUUUCUUAGUCUAAACAUAUGGAUAUUGUGAAGUGUGAGAGUAUUAACUUAUAAUUUUGGGGUAAAAAGCCCUACUUUCCUGUCACCGGCGAGGGGUGCCUGCGUCGGGCAAGGGCACCCCUCGCCGGUGUCGGCCCAGGUGAGGGCAACCCUUGCCAGUGCCGGCUUCCCUCCGCCGGGGCUGGCAGAGAGAAGAAAAAAAAAAUAAAUAAAAAGAAAAAGAAAAAGAAAGAAUAGAAAGAAUAAAACGAAAAUGCUGUUAAUAGAUGUGUCACAGUUUGCAAAGUUUGAAAUUUUUCGUGUCACAAAAAAAAAAUUGGGAUAAAUUUGUCAUUUUAGGCAAAGUUUAGGAUUUUUGAUGGACUUUUCUCUUUUUUUUAUAUACAUGAGAAACGACGAACAAAAAUAGGAAUUAGGGCGUUGUUCAAUUCUUGAGUCCGGAACGGAUUAAUCAAUAAAAAUUCAAUUUUUUGGUUCUACUCCUGUUGCGUCUUCUUCUUCUUGCCUGGUGAUGAUGACGUCUGCGUGUGGGUUUCAUUUACUGUUCUUUCGCUGUUAAGAAGAUGAAGAAGACGAAGAUGAAGAUGGAGGCCGUAAAAAUUGGUUAGGCCCAAUACAUGACGAAUGGGCCCAAUUUCAAAGCGUAAUUGCUUGAAUUCGUUUUCAGUUUCGUCGCUAGAUCACAUUCCCCGUUUCCGUUAUGCUCUAAUGUUUAGCUUGUUUCCUUUCUCCGUCGAUCCGGAAUGCUGCUGCUGAGAUCGUUUCGGCCGAGGGGCAACGAAAUUGUGAAGUUCUAGUUUCAUUCGGCGCAUCCAUGGCUCGUCUCCAUGGUUGCGUCGGACUUUGUCCCCGUUUUGGAAUUAGGAGCAUCGUUAGAUAGUUCAUCACGCAUUCUUGGGUUAUACUAUGUGUAUUCUGUAUGGAAUGGAAUGUAGGAGCAAUUUACUUGAUAAUUUCGAUGUUGUUGACGUGAUGAUGAUUGUGGGUUCUUCUGAUUUUCGGGUUUCACCAUGUGUGUAUGUGAGCGCAUGUUUUGAUGUGAUGAUGAUCGUGGGUUCUUCUGGUUUUGGGUGAUUCAUGAGCUGAAACGUGUUGAUGAGAGGCGUUUGGGUUGGUGCUAAGUUGGAGAAGCUUGCCGAAGGAAAAUCUCAGGUGCAUACAAUUGAUUAGAUUCUGAUAGAAAAGAUAGGAAGUGAGUCGUGAUAAAAGCUCGUUCUAGUUGCAGCAGAUGGCAUUGUUUUUAUAAGCAUUUGUUUGGAUGCUACUUGGAAAUUAGUCGCGGCUUAGUUGCAGCAGGAAUUCUCUAAUCAAAUUAAUGUGCAUAUGAUUGAUGAAUUGAGUAAAUCUGUGUCGAUGUCUAGUCACAUGAAUUGAAAUGUUGAAGCAUUGAACACUGAUUCCGAUAACGAAACAGGUCUAUGAUAUUGGCCCACAGCUCAUAUGCUCAUGAGAAGAGCUUAACUUGAAGCAUACAAGCACAAUUCUUUUCAUUGGCCAAACACUUUCAGACGGAUUCUUUUUCUGCAGACCAAUCAGUUGGUGGUCUUCUGUACAAUGAACUUCUGCAUUAAUGAUCUCUCUUUUUUCCCCUUUUUUUGGGUUCUUGUAGAGUCUAAGGGUAAACAUGUUUGAGGGAAAAAGUCAUGGAUAAUGCAAGUCCAGUUAUUGACUUUACUGCACAAAACUGCCGCAUGAAAGUAGCAUUUGGUGCUGCACAAAGUCUCGAGUAUUUGCAUGAUAAGGCCAAUCCACCUGUUAUAUGUCGUGAUUUCAAUUCCUUGAACAUCUUGUUGGAUGAGGCUUUCAAUCUGAAAUUAUCCGACUUUGGACUGGCCAUGCUCGGGCCUGCCGGAGACGAGAUGCAUGUACUCGUACAGGGUUAUGGAUACUUAUGGCCUUUUGGCUCCUAUAUAGGCAAUAACCGUCCAACUUGUAUGCUUUCUAAUGGUUACAUAGGGGGACAGAAGUAGGGUUGGCUCUUGCCUGAUGGAAGCAUUUAUUAUUAUCACAGGAUGAGCGCAAGCUUGUCUCAUAGAAGCGGGUCUCCAGUCCAUGAGAUGAGCCAAGACAGCAGAAAAUGUUCCUUGAGCCGUAAGAGCAGCGAGAGAUCAUUUGACAGAAUUGAUCUUUUUAAGUCCAAAAGGAAGCAGCAGAUGCAGCAGAACGGGAUCGAUGGGUCGUGCUGCCUGUUGGGCGGACGAUCCACGGGUGGUUCACAGGAUGGAAACUAAGGAAUCAAUAUUUUGAGUCCGAAAGGAAGCAGCAGGUGCAGCAGAACAGGGUCACUUGACGAUGCUGCCUCUUUGGCAGACGAUGACACGGGGGUUCAUAGGAUGGUAGCUAAGGAGUCAAUCUUCUGAGUUCAAAAGGAAGCGGCAGAUACAGCAAACCGGGGUCACUAGAUGGUGCUGCCUUUUUUGGUGGAUGAUGACAUGGAGGGGUUUUCACAGUAUGGGAGCUAAUCUUUCGAGUUCAAAAGGAAGCAGCAGAUACAGCAAAACAAGAACACUAGAUCAUGCUACUUAUUUUGGGAACUAUGACACGGGGGGUUUCAUUGGAUGGGAGCUUCUAUCAGCGGCACGACAGCCAUGGUAUACCAAGAGACCAUACGCUUUCCUUGAAACAAGACAACUGUGAGAGAUUCUGAUGUCAAUUUGAUUCGUUCCAAGCAAUUGAGCUACGAGCAUAUCCACUCAUCAUCAUAAGCUCCCGUCACUUGGUUAUCUUUAUUUAACAUACAGUUUAAGAUCUUCUCUCUUAUGAUCUUGUCGCUACUGAAGACAGGAUGCACAUUCGAUUUUUACGCUCGUUCAAUCAGUCAAGUUCAGUGUCAAAAUGUGAUGCUCUACCAGGAAUAAGCAACUAAGGUAUAGACUAUUUGUGUAUAUACUGCCAAUGCUUUUUAUUGUCGAUGAACUUCCGGUACUCAUUUAAAGAACAAACUGUCGAUUGGGUGUUUGAUUUUCAUGAUUCAGAGAAUAGAGUGGUCCCACUGCUCUUAAUCUUAGAAGACAGUAGUCCCCGGUGCCGUUUGCACCCAUGAUGGCCAGCAAUCGGUUGUUGGACACAUGAUGCGAUCCAUUGCUGACGGCAUCAUCUCGUGCUCGCAGCGCUAGCUUAAUCCGGAGGAAUCAUUUUCCGGAUUUAAGCCCCACUCGAUGCCAACAGGCAUAGAUAUCAACCCGAGGAACUUAAAUCUGGACAUCUUAAGCCGUUCCUUGUCUAUCGUGUGCAAGAACUCGGGCCAACGAGACUUCAAGGUCAAGGACUUUGAGCUCGGUCCGAUUCGCCACCCUGGCACCACCUUAUUUACAUUGUCAUCGCCUCCACUAUUUCCUGAACUUAAUACCAGUAUUAAGUUCAGGAACCUCCAGGUCAAAUCCAUAAUCCUCAAGGUCGAAGCUCGUGGGGGUUGAUGUUAUUCCCACACUUCCACCGCCGGCAGCAUUAGAUCCGUGACAAAUCUCCCGUUCUGAGGGAGGAGGAGAUGGAUGUACUUUUUGAGAGCUUAGGCCGAUGCCCGGCGCUUUCGCAUCUCUUGACGGAUGGAGAUGGCGAUGGUCUCUUGACUCCACCGGAGAACUCGCCUGGUGGCGGCGACGGAAGUUCAGCAGUGGAGUCCACCUCAGUGCUCUCCAAUCUCGAGGGUCGUGGAAGUUUGAGAGCGGCAUUCACCCCAGCUAACAGCUCUCCAAGUAGACAUGGUAAAAGUUCCGAGGAAGCUACGUUUACAGCCUUACCAAAUAUUACAUAUAAAUAAGAUUAAGGAAGCACCAAGAAGAUCAAGUAAACACUUCAGUGAGAUCGUGCAUCUUAAAAUGGGAUGAUUAAAACUUUGCCAACUAAUGAUUUCUACUCAAAUGGCAUGUAUGCCAUUCGGAACUUUUUAGCUUAGAUUCAUCAAAUGAGUAACUAGCUGUUGGAGCAGAGAACUGUCCUUGCCACUCACUAACUUCACUUGCCUCAAUGGAAGGCUCGUCAUUCUUACUCUUUAGACUAUUUGGCAGGAAGAAAAGUGAUGAGAUUUUUUUUUUUUUUUUUAAGUUGUCAAAAGUUUUGAUCAACCUCUUCGAUUCACUUAAUUUAUCCGUCAAAAAAGGUGGUUUCUCAAAUCAAAUGAGAUUAUUCUUGCUUCUCGCCUCUUCCUUCACUUUUUCCUUUUCCUCUAUCUGCACAUCCUUUGCACUUUAGCAUUUUAAUUUAGUAAAAUUCCCUUGCUUUUAAAAGAAAUGGAAAAAUUGUCUAGAUACCAGAUGGCUCCCUUGAUAAAGUAUAUUUUUGCAUGACAGAAGUGAGAAAAGAAAGAGGAUCCAAUAGUUGCAUUUUUUUAAUUUGCCUCGUUGCGGGUCAAGUUACGGGACUCCACAAAUUAUAGAAGUUUUUUGGAGGCUCUAUGAGAAAAAAGAGGCAUGUGUCACAGUCCGGAGGUGAUGCAACACGACACUCAAAUCUUCUAGGUAUUUUUGGAUUAUUUUUGUAUACACUAGAAUAUUCCCUAGAUGAUUCCCUAGAAUAUUUCUUAAGAUAUGUCCAAGGGUGGGCAAUAUGAUAAAUGUACAAUCUGCACUAUUAGACUAAAUAGGCAAUCUACAAUAGUGAUUCAAGCCAUAUUUGUAUAAAUAGUAGAGGUAAUCGGUUUUAGGAUGGAUAGGUUCAAGAUAUAGACCAUGUACCAUAUCCUGUUAUAUCUAAUUCUCAUUUUUGGACCCCGUACCCUAUCCUAUUUGGGGUCAAGCCUACUUUGGAACCUACCUAAUUUUUGUUCCAAUCCAAUUUCAGCAUUUGCUCUAUUUAUGUUAGAACUUGUUUUGCAACUACUCAAUAUUCUAUACGGUUUUGAAUUUUACAUAAGCUAGAAAUUAACACCGUAAUCCUCCUAAUUUGUGUUAAACAUUAAGCACAUAUAAUUAAUAAGUACAUGAACUUUUUAACUAAACAAAAAUUAAGGACCCACAAGGCUAAUUAUCAUCAAAAUGCCUAAACUUGGAAAUUGCUGACGUAGAAACCGUAUAGAAUAUGGUCUGAUUGCUCAGCAUCGGGAAUUUAAUGGCUAAAUUCCCGACAUCAGGAAUUUGAUGGCUAAAUUCGCCGACCAGAUUGCUUGACUGUCCAGAUCGAAAGGCAAAGAAAGAUCGCAACUUUACACUAAACCAUGAUUAUAUAUAUAAUCUCUUGAUGUCAUUCUUAGUAUAUCUAUGCUUGAUAAAAGAAGCACUCUAGCGAGACGUUCUAAUCAGGUAAUACAUAAACACAUCACUCUCACAAUGCAAUUACAAUUUGCUAAUUGCGAUGUCGUGACAGCAAUAUUUUGCGAGGAGAAAAAUACACAUUGCAUCGUAAAAUUAUAUCAAGAAUAAUUAAACUCAUUUUACGUUUUCUAUGUAUAUAUUAUAUGAUAUAUAUAUCAAUCAUGUAUAUAUAAAAUGACCCUCUUCACGGUCCUAAAUUGCAUGCUUUUUGUACUAUUUUACAUUCGUAAAACUAGUUCGACCUAAAAAAAAUCAUUCGUAAAACUAACCUGCGGCCCACCCAAUUAGUGGGCUAGAGGCCCAAUCAGCUCGCCAACUACACGCGGCCCAUCAAGCCAUUAGGGUUUUGAUAUGGUACAUAUAAACUGUGUGGUUUCUCUCUCAUUCAUCACUUUCCUCCUCUGCAACCUCGUCCGAGUGCUCCGGCCGUCAGCGGAACCAUGGUAAGUAACUCCUCCUCCUCCUGCGCUUCGAUUUGGAUUGCUGAACGAUCUGGUCGGCGAAUUUAGCCGUCGAAUCCCUGAUGUUGGGAUUCUGCUCUUUUGGGUGUUAAAUAUCAUGGCCAUCUCGUUUUUUCGCAGACGAGAACUUUGCUUCUGUUGUGAUGAUGGUGGAGAAAUUUUUUAUUAUAUUCCUGUUCUCGUGCCAGAGAGAGAAAAAAGAAAAAUUGGGUCUUCGGUAUUGCUCUGCGAUGUAAAAGAGAGAUUUUUACUGCUGUGAUGUAUGGUUGGGGACAUGCCGCGGCUAUAGAUUGGUGCUUCUUCCUUGGUGUUUUGAGAUUGAAUUUGCAUGCGACUUCUGUUAGUGAGUCCAGCGCAUCGAAGUUUUAAUUUAUCAUGGGAUUUAUAGUCUACUACAGUGAUGUAUGGAUGUAGAGAUGCCCAGCUAUAGCUUGUGUCUUGCCCUGGCUUUUUAAGUUUAAACCUGCAUACGGGUCCUGUUUAGUGAGUCCAGCCAUCAAAUGAUUUAUAUAGACGUGCUCGUGAUGAAAGAGUUAUGGUAUUUGAUAUGGCUCCCCAUACCCUCAAAACGUGAUUGUUUGCUUGCUUGCUUGCUUUUGGUUGUCACGAAUUUGGUUAAAUAUAUUUCUUCUUUUUCUUUGAUGAAUGGUGAAAAACUGCUCUCUUCAUGGUUGUUUUGAUUCUGUAGAUUUAUACAGGCCUUUCUGUUUCCGUGCAUAAUGUCUGAUAUCUUCGAUGCCCCUAGAACUUAAACGUCCUUUAUAAAUUUUUGACAAACAGCCGAAGCAAAUCCACGAGAUCAAGGAUUUUCUCCUCACUGCAAGGCGGAAGGACGCCCGGUCUGUCAAAAUCAAGAGAAGCAAGGAUGUUGUCAAGUUCAAGGUUCGCUGCUCCAAGUACCUCUACACACUUUGUGUGUUUGACUCCGAGAAGGCCGACAAAUUGAAGCAAUCCCUUCCUCCAGGUGCUUAACUGUGCUUGUACAAUCUAUAAUAUGUUCAUGGCAAAUGCAUGAGAAGUUGGCUCGAGAUGCCACUUGGUGCACCUAUGUCUGGAUGUGAUGCUAUAUGAGUUAAAAAAGUCUUCUUUUCAUUCUCUGUGGCACCUUUGAUGACCCCUGGGUAUGUUUUCAUUUCUGUAGGUUUGAGCGUGCAAGACCUUUGAACGUGCACGAGCUUGCAUUUCGUGGGAGAACUCAAGAGAAUACCGAGGAAUCGUGUUUUGAACCGUUUGAUCAUUGUUUGUAGGAUUUUGACUGUUAUAUGGGAUUGCCCAGUGUAGUUCUAUUCUAGACUGAGUCAAGUUUUCAGUUUGGCUUUUAUCUGAUCAAUGGAGCCUCCAUUUGUUUUGCUCAGAGUGAAGCUAUGCUUCGAAAUUGAUUUGAGGAUCGUUCGUGGAGGUUGCUCAGAUUAUAUCGAGUGUUGCAUUGCUAUGCUUGCUUUGGAAUCUGUUUGAUUUCAUCCAUGAACACAAACAUUUGAUUUUGGAAUACAGAGAGAACUCUCAAAUGCACACACAAAAAGAAUCAUCUGUCGAUGGGGUUUAAAGGGAUUGUUGAUCGAGCAGGCAUCGGUAAAUUCAAAACAAAAGUUGGUAGUUUCAUUAAAUCUUUACAUGAACUAAACAGAGGAUUUGAGUUACGAACAUUCUAGUACGGAACAGAGGAUGGCAUUUGUCGGACAUUGGUGUUUGACGACAUUGUAUUUUUUAACGUGUCUUAAGCUAUGGAUGAUUGAAUAUUACUCUACUACGGACGAUUCCUUAGAAUAUGCCACCGGCUGGGGCCGUCGCUGUCCCCAUACGGAGGAAGUUUUUAUGGUUUGCGAAAAGUGGGAAGACCAGCAGGUCACGGCUUCCCGCAGUACGAUCUUGAAUUCCAUGACUACACGAAUGAAAAGCGUGCUUCCAAAACAGUCAAAGAUAAAAAGAGGAUAACUUGAGACGAGGAUGUUAACGCAUGGUCAAAUCCAGAACCUACCCACGCCACGUGCGGGGUCUACCUGGAAGAAAAGGUUGGGGGAGAAGCGUCGUCUUGUUUCUGCCAUCUUGCAGCUACCCCUGGAAGCUGCCGUAACUACCCUGUAUUUCUCUCUCUGUCUGUCUCUUUGAAUUUCGAAGGGACUGUUGGGGAGUCGAGUGUCUUGGGAGUUUGGUGAGAGAGAGAGAGAGAGGGGCGUCGGAUCGGUAUUCGUCAUGUGGCGGGACAGAGUGUGCCCCUGCUUCUGGUUCGGGAACGGCAACCGCCAUGAUGGGGAAGCUUCUGAGGAGAGGAACCCGGUGCUGCUGGUGUCCGGGAUGGGCGGCUCCAUACUCCAUUCCAAGAAGAAGGAGGACAAGUGGCUGGGGUUCGACACCCGGGUCUGGGUCCGCAUCCUCCUCGCCGACUUGGAGUUCAAGAACAAGCUCUGGUCCCUCUUCAACCCCUCCACUGGUCUCUCUUCUCUCUCUCUCUCUCUCUGUGCAACCGGCAUGCUUGGGAUUCCAUUUCCAUACCCAUUUGCGUACUCGUGAGCGCGCGCGCAGUAUCGUAGCUUCUGCUAUUUGUUGCUGCAAAUUCAACAUACCUGUGCCUGUGUUGUUUGUCGUGAUGUUUGGUCGCACUCUCAGUAGUCUUUGACUUCCACUUUGGAAUCUGUGAGAUGGUUUAUCCUCAAACUCGUUAAUUGCCAAAAUGGUUCGUCAGUAAUCGAUAUUCCAGAACAUCUUUCUUUGUACUAGUGUACCUUGAAAUACCUUUUGACCUUGGUAUGGUUUGCCUUUACCAAAAAUUAUUCGUUAUUGCAGAUUAAGUGUCAAUUCGAGUCAUUCUUUUUUACAUUGAAACUGUGUUCUGCUUUGAACCCGCUUCGCAAUUUCUGUACCAUGAAGUCGCUCUCAUGAGUAAUUCAAUUUGGAUGUACUUUCUGAAGUGUGCUUGGUUUGAGCUAAAGCACCCUUCCUCAUGAAAUAGCACCGUGUUACAGAUGUUUCCUACUCGAGAACUUCUGGCUUAUGGACAUUUCCUAUGAAGUUAUUUCGUACUUGCGAAAGUUUCUUGUCUUCUUUAUAUCUUUACGGCACAUGCUACCUAUGUUGUCUGUGAAUUUAAUUCAUGUGGUCCGACAUGAUCUGCUGUAUCAGCAUUUAGAUCCCUUUCCACCAUCUAUGUCAAUGUUGUUCACUGACAUUGGAUUUCCUUGAUCACACAAUAUGAUUUAAUCCUUGACGAGCUUGUGCUUUUUGUCAUCCUAAGGAUUGACCGAGUCAUUGGAUGAUGAUGCUGAAAUUGUGGUUCCUGACGAUGAUUAUGGGCUCUAUGCGAUCGACAUACUAGACCCAUCAUGGGUGAGGCUCUAAGUUUUUUCUUCACUCUUUUGUUGGUUUGUUAGGGAAUUAUUUUGCUCCCAUGUACGCUGUUAGUUCCGCAACAUAUUUGCUACGAUGGAAAUGUAUUGAUGAAAAUCUCACAUUUCAGUUUGUGAAACUUAUACGUCUGAAAGAGGUGUAUCAUUUUCAUGAUAUGAUCGACAUGCUCGUGGGGAUAGGGUAUAAGAAGGGAACCACGUUGUUUGGAUAUGGUUAUGAUUUCCGGCAAAGUAAUAGGUAAUUCAGUUUAUCUAUUAAGUUGUUGAAAGUCAAAGUUGGUAUCUUGAGUACUGCAUUCUUAGCUGAUUUAUCAGCAUGUGUUCAGAGUUUAAGUUUCUGAUAACUGUGAACACCAUUAUCUGCUGCAUCAUCACAGAGCUGACAAGCUCUUGGAGGGUCUUCGAUCAAAGUUGGAAACUGCUUACAAAGCUUCUGGAGGGAGAAAAGUUGACAUUAUUUCUCAUUCAAUGGGUGGAUUGCUGGUGUCAUGUUUCCUAUCACUCCAUCAAGAUGUGAGUGUUCUAUCACCUGCUGAACACAUUUAUUGUAGAUUGCCUGGUUGCUUACGAUAUUGGAUUAUAUGCGCAGAAUUAGCUAUGAGACUAUAAUAUAGUUGUUAAUUGACAGGUCUUUUCAAAGUAUGUAAGGAAGUGGAUUUGUAUUGCAUGCCCUUUUCAAGGUAACUGCCUUUGGGCAAAGUUCCAGAUUCAUUCUAUCAUGACACUCAAAUGUCUGGAACAAUACUAAAAAAAAGCGUAGAUACAGGCUAUAAUGUCCUCUAUCUGAUGGAGAACAUCUGUUUUCUGAUGCCAGGCUGAUAGAGCUAUCAUAAUUUUUCUGUUGGCUAGAAAUGGGAUGCUUUUCUUCUUUUGAUCUUAAACUUUGAAACUUGUUUGUUAUGUUUGUCAAUUGAAUUUUCAACUUCAAGUGCAGUAUGAUAUCUCUACCGUAUUCCAACUGUUGAAGGCUAAAUACUCAUUUUCAUCUUGGUUCGGUCAUUGCUUAUGUAGUUUUUGAAUAAAAAAGUUCCUCCAUGUGCUUAGCAGAUUGUACUGCUCCCAAGGUUUCAAAGUGUCAUCAUUUUACGUGAUAGGUGCACCGGGAUGCGUCAAUGACUCUCUCUUAACCGGACUGCAAUUUAUUGAAGGGUUUGAGAGCUACUUUUUUGUGUCUAGGUGGACAAUGCACCAAUUGGUAAUUUCUCUCUUCAUCUCUCAAAGUCACUUUGUGCACAUUCUACAUUCAUGUAGAACUAGCAUAAAGGAGGAUGAAAUACAUACUGGGAUGGAUCUGGUUGCUUUUGUCAGUGGGGUCAAAAAAUUAAUUAAUGUAUGAUUACAAGAAAAUCAAGUGUUAUGCUUUACUAACCAAAGUAAUCUUCUUAUGCCUAAAAGGUCUGAUAAUAGUUAAUAUUGCAUAGGUUUUGCUUUUCUUUAGCAAGUAGUUAUUUAUCACUGCUUAAAAACCCUUAAUUCUUUCAAACUUUAGAAAAAGGAGUGGGGCAAGUGCCCCCACUACGCAACAGUUAAGUCCAUCCUGAAUACAUCUAUCAGUCACUUUUACGCACAAAAUGAUUGAGGAAAUUGCAAUAGUAUGAGGACUUCUACCUGUGAAAUGGAUUUUAACAAUAGUAUAGCAUGAGAUGGUGUAGCAAGUCAGGUCGUGUCAUGUAGGUCACGAUUUGGAGUGAUGCUCUUUUAAUAGCCAACCCGGACCUUUCUUUGGGCAAUGCUAAUUUUCUCCUGUAGUAGUGCUAGCGUACAUAACAUGCAGAAAAGACUAAUAUACAGAAGUAUUUGCCUUCUAGUCUUGUAUAACUCUUUCUCAUAUUUAAGUCCAUUUGCACUUCCCUCGUGGAUCAUGUUCAAUGCUUGGAUUAGCUGGCUCAUUUAUUCUAUAUGAGAAGGUGGCUCACUGAUCAUAUUCGAGGGUGUGACAGUUGUUUCUGCUGUUUGGUUGGUGUGAUCAUGUGCUUUCUCUUGCUAAUAGUGACUUCUAUUUUGAAUAUAGUUGAUUGAGUGUCCAUCAAUAUAUGAAAUGAUGGCAAACCCUGAGUUUGAGUGGGCGAAGCAGCCUGAGAUUGAAGUCUGGCAGAAGCAUUCUAUCGACGAGGAUGUUUCUGUCAACUUGGAGACCUAUGGUCCCUUAGAAAGCAUCCAACUUUUUGAAGCAGCAUUGCGAAAUAAUGAGGUAGCAUGUUUAAUUCUUUCUUGGUUACUUAGUUAUUCUGAGCUCUUCUGCUGAAGCAGAUGUCUAGUUCAGUUUGGGGUCAAACCUUUGUUUGUCUGAUGCUAAGAUGUAGUAGUUCCUCUGUGUGCUGGAAAAACUAAUAAGUGUUGAAUGCCCAUUAAGGGCCUCUGCGAAGUGGCGUUCAAGCAAAUCUGCAGGUGAACAAAAACCAUUCUAUCUAAGUGUUUUUUCACUUAUACAGAAAGCAGGGGACCAAGAAAAAUAAAUGCCAAUGCCGGGCAUUUUACCCAAUCUUUAACCACUAAGGAGAACCUAUUGAUUAUAUCUUUCUUGUUAACUAGAUAGAAGCUGCCUCAUUGGGUGUCCUCCUUUUCUACUAGUUGUACCCUUAUUAACGAGCUCUCUGAAAUCUCUUCUGACUGUUUUCUGAAACCGCAUGAUAAGCUGUUUGUAGAUGGAUCUUGAAAUAAGCAUGUAGAAUGAUUUUGUUUACCAAAAUUUUUGUAAACCUCAUUCCUCAGUUGAAAGUGUAAGCUUCUUUCCCCUUCACCCUUUCCCUGUAAAUGUCAAGGUCUUCUUGUUACUUCUUCUAUGAAGUCUGAAUUGCAUUCUUUGUAAUUACAGCUAAAUUACCAAGGACAGACAAUAGCCUUGCCCUUUAACCUCUCUAUUCUCAAAUGGGCUGCUGAAACUCGCAGAAUUAUCAAUGAUGUUGAUCUUCCUAGUGAGGUUGAGUUCUAUAACAUAUAUGGAACAUCUUUGGACACGCCUUUUAAUGUUUGGUAUGCAGCUUUUGUUCUGUGUUUUGCAAAUUAAUAUUAUGUUUUGGCGGAAGACAUGAUGACAUGCUCCUGUGGCAGUUAUGGUUCAGAGGCAUCCCCCAUCGAGGACUUGUCUGAAAUAUGCCACACUUUGGUGAGUUUAUAUGAUCAUCCGUUUAAGAGCCUCUUCUGAUCAGAUGACAUUCUAUAUGUUGGAAUGACCUUUUUCGUUUAGUCAUGAUUAAAUGAGUUGUUUAAUAGCUCUUCUUGGAACUGUUGAUAUUCCCUGCCAAAUUAAACUAGAAUGACCUCAGCUGCAUCUUACGCUGACAAUGGAGCGAGUUCUCGCUGAAAUUGACAUUUUAUUCAGCACAUUGAGAAGCUGAUUUAUGACUUUGCAAUAUGCAGGAGAUUUAGAACUUAGAUGUGGAGCUUAAAAAUUGUCAUUCAAUUAUUUUAAGGGGUAUUUGGUUUUUCAAAAAUUGAUGUGCUUGGGUAGCAGGAGAUAAUAUUCUUCAUGCUGAUGCUGCCAUUUCACAUCUGCUCAAAUUUCCUUCUACCCAAAUUAUAUUUUAAUGCUUCUCGCAUACAUCUGAAUUGCAAAUGCACUUUUCCAUUCUCUUUUCUUUUCUUCAUCUUCGCUAAAUUUGCUAUGGUUUAUCUUGCAGCCUCAGUACUCUUUUGUGGAUGGAGAUGGGACAGUCCCCACAGAAUCAGCUCGGGUAACAAUUUGGCAAACCUUCUCAUUUUUCUAUACUGAGAGAUGACACUCUGCAAUUUGAUUUGUUGCCAUGCAUGUGAAGAUCCGGAUAUGUUUUUUCUUUUUGGUAUGACCUUUUAAAUCACAUCAUAUUUUUUCAAAAUCCGCAGUAUACUCCUUGUUCUGUUCACUAUGCUGUUUACAUUCAAUCUGUUAGCGGUUGUACCAAAUGCGACUCAAACAAUGUAUCUUGCAUUAUGACGUAAUACGUUGUGACAGUAUGAGGCACAAAAAGUUUCCAAGUUUUCUCAGGAGAACUCUUAAUCGACAGGCUGAUGGAUUCAAGGCGGUGGAGCGAGCAGGGGUUGCUGCUGGUCACCGACAACUACUAUGCGACAGUACUGUCUUUCAACUCAUCCAAAAAUGGUUGGGAGUUGAGCAGGUUAGCUACAGCAAGCGCGGUAGGACUUCGAGAGUAAUGGAUUUUUCUUGAAGAGUAUAGAGAUAGGACAGAGUUGACUCGUACCACAGAAUUUGUUCUCCAAGUCCUCUGGAAAUUGGAAACUGUUAUGUGUGUACGCAUUGUCAUUGUCAAGAAUGUUAGAUCCAUCACCAUUUGAAUGUAAAAGAUGAAAAUUCGAUUUUACGAUGAUGAAUCUGAAAGUUGAUGUCCAGGAUACCAUGAUCUCAAAACAGCACAGCACAAGGGAGUCAACAAUAAGAGUGUACAUUUUAAAGCUGCAUUCAAUGACUCUAAAGCAUUGAAUAAGGAAAACUGGGUCGACUUAGCGGAAACAAAGUAUCCACAGAAGAAAAGAAUACACACGAAGUUGUAUAAUUCUUGUUGCACCGGAUUCAAAGAUUUAGCCACAAAGGCAAGGGAAAAAAGAAGGGAAAGCAAAGUAAAAAUAUGCAAAAUCCAAAUGUCCUUGCAUGGUGAGGCGAUCCAGCAAAAGCCAAAUGAUGAGUGACCGAUGAGAGUUAUAAUAACUCAGCACAUAUACUGUUUCCGUAGGUCAGAUUGAGAAUGUCCGAUCAGCAUGCUCGUUUUUAGGACUAUGCAACAACAACAGCAUUGACGUCGGUGCAAUGUCUUAAGACAUUUUCCUUACAGUCAAGAUAUACUUUAACCAUUUGCUAUGUAGGGAACAGACGCAAGAUAGACAGAACACACAAGCUAGGUUAAGACGAAUUGACAAUACUUAAAUUUUUGCUGCACUGUCUACUUUUGCAUCANNNNNNNNNNNNNNNNNNNNNNNNNNNNNNNNNNNNNNNNNNNNNNNNNNNNNNNNNNNNNNNNNNNNNNNNNNNNNNNNNNNNNNNNNNNNNNNNNNNNNNNNNNNNNNNNNNNNNNNNNNNNNNNNNNNNNNNNNNNNNNNNNNNNNNNNNNNNNNNNNNNNNNNNNNNNNNNNNNNNNNNNNNNNNNNNNNNNNNNNNNNNNNNNNNNNNNNNNNNNNNNNNNNNNNNNNNNNNNNNNNNNNNNNNNNNNNNNNNNNNNNNNNNNNNNNNNNGCACCCAAUUUGGAUUUAGAAAGAGUCAGGAAAAAAAAAAAUCCUUCAUUUUACUUUUUGCGGUUUCUUGUUCGGUUGACUCAUGGAUACAGGAUGAGAUUAUCACAUAGCUAAAGGGUUUCUAGCUACCUAAUUUGAAAGCGUCCACAAACAGGCCUAAACAAACGCCUGAUUUCCAGUAAUUCAUCAUUGUGACAAAGGACUGAAGUCUUCUGCUAGAAAGAGAAGGGGGUUUUCGAUACGUAAGCAUACCGAUCCCCUCAAUGGCUGCAACCACGACACCGGCAACAAGCACAUCCCAGUCACCUGUCUGCCCAAGAAUUGUCGCCAAUGCAUUUGCUGUAUAGAAACCCAAUAGAAGAAGAAAUACCUUCAUGGGGAAAUUCCUUCUAGCUGAGUUCAGUUUUUGCAGAAGUUGUCUGCCCCCAGCGCUCACUAUCCUGCCCAAUCGAGUACGACUGAGAUCAGCAUCAUCACCAUUGAGGUCGUCUUGCUCGCCAUUACCAGGAAUCCCGCCUGUAUUCAGGGCAAAGGCUAUUUUCCAGCCAUGUCUUCUCAUCUGAGAACUAUCCGAUGUAAAGAAAAUGACUGGCUCGUUCAAAAUCGUAUGAAGAGGCUCAUAAAAGUGAACUAUACAGACAGAUCACAUAUCAAGCACACAAAACAAAAGAACUUGAUCUAAAUCCAAUAAGUUCUUGUAACUACAAGCACAGCCACUUCACGUCUUUGUAACCAACACUAGAUUACCACUGUCAAAAUCCAAAAUGUUUCCACUUACUUUAGAAAUGUGACCAAAAGGCAUUGACACAUGAUUGACUUACGCAGCUCUAUACAAAUUAAACAAAAUCAUAUGCUACAGCUCAAAGUCUGUGUUAAGGAAACAGGAAAUUAUCAGGAACUAUUGAUGAGAGCUCAUGAGUGCAGUGAAUUAGGCACAAGAAGUUUGAAGAAAACCUGGACACCAUCAGAUUGCAAUCAAGCUGGGCUAUAAGAAUAUGAGCAGCAGACCUCCAAAAUGCUAGAAAUGCAACUAAAAUAGAACUGGAUGAGAGGCUACAAUUGGUUCCCACCGACAGUCACAACUGCCAUUGCUUCCCGUCCCAUUCCAUCCCAACCCAACCCAAACCAAACACGAUGGAUCACAGUUUUUAAUGAAAUAAAAUAAGAAACACGAAAAAUGGUCUGAAAGUACCUGAUGCUUACUUCUGCCGUUAGAAAACUCGACUGUUGAUGCAGGAUUCCAUACCGAGUUCGAAACCACAGGAGGCGCUAGGACCAUGCAGGAACUUCCGGAGGCUUCGUUUUCCUGCAGCGGCAGGCUCAACUGCAUUGCCAUGGCUCCAGAUUGGCACGCCAUGAGCUGCGAAAGGCACGAAUUCGCCAUUAAAAUUCGACAAACACCACGGUCCGACACCGACUUACCCCGAAAGGCUUACACAGAAUCCAUGCCUUCGAGAUCGUAGCCACCAUAAACCACACAAACAUGGCAACCCAUUCUAAUUCAAUCCGGGCACGUUCAGUAUCGCCAGCUUUAUAAGCUGACCAGAUGAUUGAUCAACAGUCCUUGACAAUCUAACUCUCACACGUUACGCUAAAGCAACCUCCAUUGCAAUGCCAAGAGGAACGGCGCAUGUUCAGAUCAGGGAAACAAUUCGGAAACGACGGGAAGGCGAAGGUACUGGGUACUCACUUUCCGAAGCAGAGCCCGUGCCGAAUGUCAAGAACCCGAGAGUGGCUCUUCUUCCGGCCUAUAUGGAGCAGCUAACGAGGAGGAAAACCGCACCCGCUGCAGUAUAUCAUCCCGCGUUUGGAAAUGCAUGGAAUGCCCACUUCGCCUCGGGCAUUGGAGGUCCAAGGUGAAGGUCGAGAGAGGGAGAUGGCGGCGGUCAGUGGGUGCUCUCGCCUUCCAUGGACGGACGGCCCCUCUCUCGCUGGCUCUCUGUGUUCCUCGAUUCGAGAGAGAGAGCGGCAGAGACGGACCGACGGGUGAUGAUAACCUGCGAUUCUUAUCGGCAGGAGGUUGUG
rnacentral:lncRNA from 1 species